UUACCCUUGAUACUUGGGAGUCUCCAAGGUCUAGAAAAAAAGGAGAGAGAAGCAAAGAAAUUGGUAUCACUGCGUUACCAGUCAGAUCCGAGCUCCAAAGAAUCCGUCCACAUCCUCUAUCCUCAGCAAUCCAAAAGAAAAGAGAAAGAAAGCUCAAACCUUUCUGUAGCAUGUUAAGAUCCUUGAGCCCUCCAAGAGCGGUGCAUCUAUCCCUGCCCUCUCCAAAUCCUGGCGCCUAGCACACCCAAUGGUGUGUGGGACGAGGCUAUUGCCACUGGCCAGCAUCGCUCGGUACAGAAUCACGCCUUAGCGGCCAAGAAGAUUUCCCAUUUAGCCCUAAAUUCUGACACCUCUUCUUCUCGUGAUUGAUCUGGCAAUUGGAUGAUUUUAUCUGACUCAUUCAUUUUGACAGCUCAUUUAAUGAGCCAGCUGAGGCAAAUGAUAUACACUUCUAGGAGUCACUGAGGUAUAGAAGUAUCUGUGCUGAUAUCCUUGAUCACAGAACUUUGGAUAUCUAAAACUAUUCCCAUCCAAAAGUUUUACUUGAUCAAUCAUCAUGGAUAGCAUAUGAUUUUCCUCUCCUUCCUUAAUAUUGAACCACUGAACUUUAAAAAUAAUUCUCUUGAAUGAUCUAAAGUUUACGUCAUAAAUAUCCAUUAAUGUACCUGUGUAAUAUAAAAGUUAUCUAUAAUAAUAAGAACGAAGAACCCAGACCCCCACAGCCGUCCGAUCCUAGGCUCGGGGCAGCCUUGGAAGCCAUGGUUCUCAGCAAGGGGAGGCUAGCCCAGGCUCGGGCCAAGGCCGGUGGCCAUGGUUAGCGGGAAUAUUGGCUCAAUGUUGUGGCGGCCAAUGGGUGGGAUGGAUGCGUGGUGGGGAAGGGAAGAGGGCAUGGUGACAGGUGUUAUGCCAUGCACUCCUAGGGCUCCAUGGUUGCUCUAGUUGGACAUGGUUGUGUGGGCAUUCCCAUGAGAGCCUGUGCAUGGUAAGUAACAGGGGCGAGUAGAAUGGUAGUCAAGCACACAAUCCAGGCUCCUCUCGGGAUCAACUAAGGACUGUGAGAGGCAAAUUGGCUCAUCUCCAACUCAGCAAAGCUUUGAUCCCUAUUCACCACUGCCUCAUGAGCUUUUUGGCCUGCAGGAAAGCAAUUAUCAAAGACACUCCCUCUUCAUCCCCGGAUUCUCUCGAGGAAUCCCUUGCUGCUAGGCCUGGUGAGGGAUUGUUGUUUCAGCACAUGCUCGGGAUCAACUCCGUUUGUAGGAACUUGUUUUGAGUUGACAUAGGGCUGUCAAGUGGCUGUGCUAGCCAACACUGCUCCUGAAGUUUUGGAAAUCCGACAUGGCACUGAUGUCUGGGUUCGAGAGAGAGAGAAGGAGAGAAGUAGAAGGUGCCACCACAAGCAUCCCGCCAACUGUUGGGAAAGGAUGGGAAAGCUGGCAUCAAUCGGUUUGUUGCAGUAGCCCAUGGAUAAAACUGUAGUCCAUGGAUAGAUGUAUGACAUUAUAGUCAGCAUUCCAGAAUCAAUCCUAAGAUAAAUUUGUUUAGUAUGAUCAUGUUAAACUAACAAAAUUCACCUACAUUGUCUGGAGUUCAGUCAAGCCUGCAAAUGAUGGAACUGGCUGAGGAGAAAAGGAGUUGUUUCCAACGCUUCUGUUAUGCAUACACAUGCAUCAGGUCAACUCCAAGUUAAGAAGAAAUAUUACAUUAGUUGGAGAGCUUUCAACCUGCUUAGAUCAGGUAACGUUCCAGUAAAAGCAUUAUCAUUGAUGUGUCUGUAAAUGAAACAAAACUUGAGUGCAAAGUAGUUACCAUAUUAGCUAUUUACAUUUCAAAGAGGGUUGAUAUCCGCCCCAAACUGCUCGGCAGUGAUCCAGCAAAUUGAUUUUUGUCAAGUCUCCUGAAAAUACACUAUUACACGAGAUUGUAUUCUAGCCAUCAAUGACUUACAUGAUGGUCAGCUUGGAAAAGUUUCCAAUUUCAUCAGGAACUUCUCCAGAGAAGCUGUUAUUGUCCAGUAACCUGAAGGACAACAGGUCCAAAAACCUCCAAGAAAAUGAGAAAGAUACGUACAAGUGCUUGAGUUCAGGUAAGAAAUAUAUUUCUAGCGCGUCCACCUCUUUGUAAACCACCCAACAUUUGCUGGGCAAGUACUCGUAAAAAACUAAGAUAGAUCAAAAUACAUACCUGGAAAAUCAAUAUGAGGUUGUUGUGGAUUCCUUAACGUAAUUAUAAUGCUGUCCAUUGUUUUCUUAUUUGCAUCAAUUUGAGAAACUCUAAAAUGCUUUCCAUUAAUCUAAUAUACUGUAUAACUCAUGGCCUAAAAUUUAAAACUAAUUAAUGAUUAGUUAAUAUUAAUUAUGACUUUGCGUCCAUUACCCAAAUCCUUAAAAACAUUUGAUACUGAUUCACCUCUUUGAAUAGUAUAUUGUAUGAUUUCAUAUAUAAUAGCCAUAGUAGGUAAUAGUGGUAGCUAUUUUAAAUUUUCAGGAAUCUAUUGGUUUGGAUGGUCAAUCACAUAUUGCAUUCUUGCAUUAUCUUUGCUUGUUGAUACUUUUGAAGGAUAAGUUGCAUUUCCUCUACAUUAAAGUAAAUAUAUAGAGAAAUAUUUUCAUAUGCUUCUUAACUAAGUUGAAUUUGUUUUUCUAGAUGCUACAAUCGAAUACUACUAUAAUCAAAUGGAGAUAUAAACUAUGAAAUACUUGAGCAAAUUAGCACUAAAAUAUUAUGCAUAUAAAAACUCUUUUUUAAUAGCAGACCUUCAGCUAUAAAUCUUCAAGUUUUACUUUUUGUCUUACCAAAGAUUUUAAAACCCUUAAAUAACACUCAAUAAAAAAUAUAUCUCAGCUAGUUCCAGGACCAACCAUCUUUAACUCAUCACUUAAUUAUACUAAUAAAUGAACUUGUGUUGUCAUAGCUGUUGUAAAUAAUGUUGCUUCCAAUAAACACACAUAAAUAAUAGACUUUUCUUUCAUAAUAAAUUUCAAAGAUCUAUCUACUUCUUGAGCAGUUUAAAAUCUAAUUAAAAUUAAAAUUAAUUGAAUUAAAAAAAUUAAAUCAAUUAUUACCAUACAACUUCUCCAAGAAAAUAUAUUACUUCCCAUAAUUGAGGUGUUGUGUUUUUCAUUAUAACAAUGAGAUAAAAAUUGUACAAAAUAUGUUAAUUUACGUUUUAGUAAAUUUAGAAACUUAUUUAUAGUAAAUGAAGCCAAUUGUUUUCAUACCUAUUAAAUUACCUUUCUCAUCGACACAAUUUGAAAAUUGAGUUCCAUAUGUUUUAAGCACUUUAAAAGCCUCUAUAUUAUCAAUAAAUAAUUUAUUUUAAUAACUUGUUAAUGUCAAAAUUCCAUGAUUAAUUUUUCCAUCACAUCACAACCAUAUGUUUUACAUUAUUCUGCACAUAACUAAGUCUAAACUAAAUUUAGAAACUUACUCAUAGUAAAUGAAGCCAAUUGUUUUCAUACCUAUUAAAUUACCUUUCUCAUUGACACAAUUUGAAAAUUCAGUUCCAUAUAUUGUAAGCACUUUAAAAGCCUUUAUAUUAUAAAUAAAUAAUUUAUUUUGAUAACUUGUUAAUGUCCAAGUUCUAUGAUCAAUUUUUCCAUCACUUCACAACCGCAUAUUUUACCUUAUUCUAUACACAACUAAGUCUUUUCUAUUACUUAAUUCAUCAUUUUUACCAGUAAUAGUUUUAUAUAUAGUUUCAAAAAAAUUCUUAAAUAUAUGCAUGUAAUCCUUUAAAAAUGCUACUGGAAACUUAUAAAAAUAUAGAAGUUGAUAAAAUGUGAAUAUAACCAUUUCAUACCAUUAGGUAACGAUAUUUGAUCUUCUUGUUUAACCAAAUAAUAAUAUGUUGCCUAACGUUUUGGAGUCAUCUGUCCUAGUAUUGGUCAAAUAUAAUUAUGACCAUUAAAUAAACUAAUUAAAAUUAAAUUUUAUUUUAUGUUUUAGAAAUAAUAACUAAAAUCUUACAUUCUAUUAGUAGACCUAAAUGGAUGAUCCAUAGGUAAGAAACACCAAUAUCCAAUAUAUAUAUGCAUUUUUAUAAAUUUCAUGACUAUAUUCCAAGGAUCUAGGUCCACAGUUUAGGUAAAAGUAUUUUCCUAUUAAUUUGAACUCCUGAAUAAAAUCAUAAUCCAAGAAAAUUAUGAAUAAACUAUCACAUUGCUUCUCUAAGCUUAAAAAACUGUUAACCUUCUAACUUAUAAUUAUCUUUGCAUGGCACUCCAUCCCAUAAUUGUUUCAACUCUUCCAAAAAUAAUGACCAAUAAAUAUUAGGUACCUUAGGGAGUUUUUAAUCUAAUAUCUGGUAUAAUCAUAAUAAGAAAUAUAAAUUAAUUGCUAGAGUUGGUGGUAUAUUAUUAUUAAUUGCAAAAAUUGCCUAACAUGAAUAUAUUUUUGCCAUUAAUUUUGUUGGAGAAAGAUCAUUUUCAGCCAUAGUAAAAUGUAUAUUUUUUGGAUCUACUGCAAAAUUUGGGUAAUCAUCUUUGAGUUUUUUUUAAAUUGAACCAUCUGCAGGCAUUCUCAUUAUUCCAUUAGUGGACUGAUGAUCAAAUGAUAAAUGAUGUAUUGUGUUAUUUCUCUACAUUGAAAUUAUUAUUGAAGUCAAGGUAUAAUAGAGAAAUAGUCCAUUAUUUUCUUAGGUAUAUAAUUGUUAAAAUCUGUGUGCUUGUUAGCAAUAGAAAUUUGACAAAAUUAAAGGUCCAUAUUCUCCUUAUGAAAUAACAUAAAAUCAUUGAUGCAUAAAUCAAUCUUUUUAUAGGUAAGUCCAUUAUGUUUAGUGAUAUUUACCACUUCCUUAAAUAUAUUUGAAAAUUUUUAUUUGUAGGCAACAUUUUAGUCACAGUUUAAAAGUUGUAAAUUGCAGCUCUAAUUAGCAACAUAUAUGAGCUUAUCUAGCUUUAAAGAAUAUGUUACUGCAAAUUAUUAUUUAUAUUUUAGUUGUAAAGGACAACUAUAAUUUCCAACUUAAAUUUGAGUAACUAUAAAGCUAUCACAAAUUACAACUUAAAUUUUGUAACUAAAGCCAAUUUGCUACUAACAUUUAAGUUGAGUUGAUUACAACUUAAAUUUCCAACGAACACAAAAAUUUCGUUGGAAAAACAUAUCAUUAUAAUGCUUUUACGGACUGGCAGAAGUCAAGUCUAAGUCUUGACCUGUCGAAGUCCACAUUCUAUCCACUGUGGCCAAAAAAUCACCACAAAAAAAAAUUGUGCAAAAAUCUAUGUUAUGUAAUAUAGUUGAUAGCCCAGUAUACCAAUGGCAAAUCCCAAGUCCCCCACUUUAUUGACUAGCAAGGCUUUUAUCAAGGCCCUUUGCUAGUCAAUAAAGUCAAUAAAGUAUUUUUACAAUGGUAAAUCCCAAGUCCCCCACUUUAUUGACUACCUCAAUUGACUCGAAGUCAAGUGUGCCAAGAAUUGAUUAGCAAAUGUGCGUGUAAACUCUUACAAAAAAAAAGAAGAACCUCAGCUUUCAUGAUAGCGUUCACUCUUUGAUGUUCUGAUCCAUGGCCAUGUCUCUCGCGGAUUUGCUGCUGCCUUUGUUUCUACUCGUCUUUCUCACAAGAUCCCGGUCACAGUGCCCCACAAAUCCAUCCGCAAUCGUGAACGACACACAGGUUCUUCUCUCUCUCCGUGACAGGCUUGGCAUCAAAGUGUGGAACGAGACUGCCAAUCCAAGAGCAUGGCGGGGAGUGGAGUGGAGCUCGGACAACCAAGUGGAGGGCCUCGCUCUGUCCAGGUUUAAUCUCUCGGGAGUUUUUCCUGCCACCUGGGCCGAGCUUCCAUCGCUGGCUCGCCUGGACCUCUCGCAAAACGGCCUCUCCUCGCUGGAAGUCCCUUGCAAAAAUACGCAGCUCAACCUCCUCAACUUGAGCUCCAAUUCCCUGCAAGAGUUCCCCGGAAAUCUCUCCAGCCUCGAGAGUUUGGAAAGCCUGGACCUCAGUGGGAACUUCUUAACAGUGGCCGGACUCCCAAAGUUUAGCUUGACGCUGCGAUCGCUCAACCUGUCCAUCAACAACUUAACUGGGAGCUUUUCCAUUGGUGGUAACCUGGGACUGGAGGCACUGGAACUCUCGCACAACGGACUCAGCGGCUCCAUUCCAGAAACUUUCGGGGAGAUGACGAACUUGACGCGCCUGGACAUAUCGUAUAACAGGUUUAGAGGAGAUCUACCCGAUAUUUGGAGCAAGAACUUGGAGCUCAGGUACAUGCGUAUCUCCAAAAAUUCGCUCCAGGGUGGUUUGCCACCGAGCUUGAGAAGGCUACGCAAGCUCUCGGAAUUACGCGCUGCAUACAACUGUCUCUCCGGGCCACUGGAGCUGGAAGAUGGCGACUUUGCAAGCAUCGAGGUUUUGAACCUCGGGCUAAACGGGUUUAGCGGAACGAUCCCGGCUACGCUGGGAGGCUUGAGGAACUUGAAGAUCCUGGAUCUCAGGGGGAAUCGUUUUAGUGGCGCCAUCCCAGGCGAGCUCUCGAAGCUCUCGCAUCUCCAGCUGCUGGUUCUCACGGGGAAUCGUUUUAGUGGUGCCAUACCUCCGGAGCUUGGAAACUGUUCGAACAUCAGAGGGAUACGCCUCGACAGCAAUUACUUGACUGGAACAAUCCCAGGCGAGCUCUCGAAGCUCUCACAUCUCCAGCAACUAGUUCUCAGCAGCAACGACAUCGGCGGGGAGCUCCCUUCCGGACUCUCCAACUGCACCGUGCUCGUCGUUCUCUGGCUGGGAAAGAACAAGUUCUCUGGAAAUCUCCCUGAGAGCUUCGGGGAUUUGAGCCGCCUGCUCAUUCUGGAGCUUUCCAGCAACGAUCUUGUCGGUUCAAUCCCGGCCAUGUUGCAAAACAUGUCGGCUCUGCAGUUCCUCAUCCUCGAAAACAACAGAUUCAGUGGCUCCAUACCGGACUGGCUUCCCAGGCUCACGAACUUACGAGCCAUGGACUUCUCGGUUAACAGGUUCUCUGGGGAGAUGCCGGAAAGCAUUGGCCGACUGUUUGCCAACGUCCAGCUUUACAACAAGAGCAAACGGCAUAUGAUGAUUCAAACCGGAGGACUCGUCUACAACGGCUUCGCCUUCCCGACCUUCAUAGACUUCUCCUUCAACCAGCUGACUGGAAGCAUUCCAGCCGCCAUUGGCGACCUCUACAAGCUCCAGGUGCUGGACCUGAGACACAACCAGCUAACAGGUCCCAUUCCCGAGUCCCUGGGGAAGGCAAGGAAUCUCUCCAAGGUGUGGCUCGCGGGGAAUCGUCUCAAUGGCUCCAUACCAUCGUCCGUGGUGGACCUCUCGUUUCUCACCAUCUUCGACGUCUCCAACAACAGCCUGGUGGGACGGAUACCUGACAGCCCGCAACUCUCGCCCAUGGACGCGGCUCUCUUCGCUGGGAAUCAGCUCUGUGGCUUGCCACUGACCAACACCUGUUCGAGCACUGCUAUGCUGCCACAUAAGCUUAGAACAGAGGGACAAGGUGGUAGCGAACAGGACCAAACAGAGGUGAUAACACUUGUCAGCGUUGCGAUCUUCGUGGCAGCCUUCUUCAACGCGUUCUUCUGGACCUACUUUGCGGCAAACCACAGAGCUCAUUCCCAUGCUGGCAAUCAAAUCUCUAGCUCGUCCACCAUGUUGCUGCCGUCCUUUCUACCUUCCAGUUCGUAAUCCAUCACCAUCGUGUGACCGCUUGAUGAAGUGAACUCUUUUUAUCCGCUUUCAAGGCCGCCUCCUGUAUAGUCUUGAGCUUAUCAUGAUCCUCCCACAGCCCCGCGCUCCGGUAGAUGCUCGCCAUCAGAACGUAUGCAGCCGAGUCAUUCUCGUCGAUCUUCGUCAGUGCCUCGAACGCAAUCCUCCCCACUUCCACUUACGGCAGGCCCCGAAGACGCUCCUCCAAACCACAGCAUCCGCUCUCAAAGGCAUGCUCUCGAGGACUUUCAAGGCCUCUUCCAGUCGGUUACGAGAUCCACCAAGCUGCUGUAGUGAUGAAUCCCGCAAACAAUGCCAGAGUCCGGGUCCAUUGCCUGGAAAAACUCCCUGCCUCGUUCAACUAUGCCGCCGUGGCUGCAAGCAGUGAUGACCGAGACAAAUGUGAUUGCGUUUGCUCGCACGCCAUCUUCUCGCAUCUCGCGAAAGGCUUCGAACACGCGCGACGUGUCACCCUGUUGGCCGAAUCCCGUGACCAGUGCAUUCCAGGCGACGAUAUCUCGGACUGCCAGAGAUCCAAACAAGUGCUCGGCCGCACUCAUAACUCCGCACUUCCUGUAGAAGUUUACUCCCCACAACUUGAUCGUCUUCCAGCCCACGCCUGUAAAGCUCAGCCUGGAUUCCUUCCAGCUAGGCCGUAAGUGCUACAAGAGUCCGAGAGUUUGGAGCACAGUCCACUCCAAGAGUUCCAGCCCGAGCUCACUCUCACCGUUGUCUAUAUAUCCCUGUAUCGAGCUCGUCCAAACGACAACGUCCCGGCUAGGCAUGCGUUUGAAAACUGCUCGAGCUUUCACCAUAUCUCCACACUUGGCAUACAUGUCCACCAAGCUGCUCCCAGCGUCCAAACUUCGCGGCGAGAGAAUGAAUCUCCAUCCCCUUUUCUAGGCUCUGGAUUCGCACUAGCUUUCCAUCUUCUCGCGGAACAGGUGGCUCGGACGCUGAAAGGUGGACGCAGGCCAUGAGCGCAGCAACAAACGUUCUCUGGUCCGGAUCGUUCUCCCGAGCCAUGCCGAAGAACAGCUCCAAGGCCAGCUUGCUGUCUCCACUUACAUCGGCCAGCCAUGCCAUCGAAGACCCUGCGAGCUUCCUCUAGCUUCUCACACUUCGCGUACAUAUCGAUCAGAGUGUUCCCCACGAACACGUUCUCACAGUACCUGCUGUUUGAAGCUUCACCGUGGAUAGCCACCUCGGUUUCCAAUCUCUUUCUCUUCACGAGUUUGCCGUCGACAUCCACCGCUUCUUCUCGCAUUGAGAGGAAAACGUCUUCGCUGCAAGACGGUCCCAUCUGCUUGGCUUGAGAAUGGAUGCCUCUGCCGGUCUCGAGACUAGCCUCCUUGACGAGCUUCCCAUCGACCAAAACAGCGUCUUCCUUCGCCGCGAGGCUGCUACAAGCCUUUGCCGCGUCCUGGAGUUUGGCUUGCAUCCUCUCGAAGAGAUCCAGAGCCACAUCGCUCUCGCCAUUGGAGACGUAGCCCAGCAUCAAGGACAUCACGUUUGGGUGAAGAAUGCUGUCGAACACGCGGCGGGAAUCCUCCAUGCUGCCGCAUUUCGCGUACAUGUCUCCCCAGCUGCUUGUUCUCCGCCGCCUGGGCGUGGAUCGCCCAGGCGUAAAUUGCCCUAGCGCAAAUCCCUUGUGACCUUCAACGCCGACACCUGCUGAUCGGGCGCCCGCGGCGGCGCUGAAUGCUGGUGCGGCGCAUCGAAUCGCUGCGUCGCCAAGUCUCAUCCAUCGCAAGAACCCUAAAAAUUUGCUAGCAACAUGGAAAUCCAACCAAGGCCGUCGAUUCAAGAAUAUCUGACGGUUGGAAAUGAAUCGGGGACCAUUAGCCUGGAAAAACCUACAAUGUGCCUCAGCGCGCUCGCAAUCCCAGGCUUGUAAGCCGGUGUCCAUCUCCGGUCGCCCUCGAGUUAAGUCGAUCGGAAACACCGCUGAAAACAGGAACUAUGGCGAUCAAGCGUAAUCGCUCUUAAGACUCUUACCUGUUGAGGCAGCGAUUCCUGCUACUCCACCGGAGAUCAAGCUCGUCACCAUCCUACUCGGGCCUGAAAGUAACCAUGCAAUGCCAGGAGGCCUAAGCAUGUCAAAACUGUGUUUACCAAUGCGAUGGUGCUCUGUCUUUUCCAAAAAUUUCUCAGGGAAACUAAAAAGAAAUCCAACUUUUAGCAUUCCAGUAGUUGUAGAGAGUGUCAUACAAGCAGAAGUUUAUCGCAAUCAUUGGGCCUAUGGCAGGAGUCAAGUCUGUUGCAUUUGGCAGUGAGGAAAACAAUACCAAAAGCGUCGGUCAGAGUUCCUUAUAAAAGCUAAGAAAGCUCUCCUGUUGAUGGAUUGUUUUCCUCACUCCUUAUAAAAGCUAAGAAAGCGUGUGAUAGAUGCGGACGCAUGGCAACAUCUACACGCAAAAGCACAAAAGUUGUCAAGGGAACAACCAACAACAAAGAUCACAAAGCUCAAGGUGAGGAAAUUUAGGAGAAGACUCAGGAACAAGAUCCUGAACAUGUAACCACCUUGAGGUUCCAAACUUACAGUCGUCAAACCGAAGUGUAAUGUGAACAUGAUCCAGUAGGAGCAGUCUCUAGCAUCUCCACCGCACACAGCAACACUAACACAACCAGCUCUCAACGCUGACACCGACAACAUGCUGCAUCACCGCAAACACCACAGUUGAGAGCAUCCCGAGCAGGAGUGAUGCUGCAAGCCUGAGCUUACACCAGAUCUUAAGCUUGACAUUUCUCCAGUUUGUGGACAAAAUGCACUGUUUCCAGCCAAUGCUACAGAUGUUGAUACCAGCAGAUUUUCCAAGGCUUUUCCACGACAAGCAGAUGAACAUUUUCAUGUGAGACAGAGUCCAAUCAACACCUUUGUCUACCAGCCCCUAGAUGCAAAGCUCUCAAACAUCCAAAACCAUAUUCUCCAGCACAAGAGGAGCAUUCGAGGUACAGCUUUCUAGGGAUCUGUAUGCGCAAAGACUUAGCACAUGAACGAGGAACUCCCCAAGGAGAAUACAGAACUUUGCAAUGAAAUCCAGCUGUAGAGAUAGGGUGCACUACAAUAGAAGAACAAGUUCAAGAAUGAGCUCUUUGGAAUCAUAGCAGUAACAAAACAGCCUAAUGCCAUGGAGAAGUGAGAGCUUCAAGAUGAAACUCAACUCAAUCGUGGAAGAAAAGUGGACCAUAGAAAAUCAACUUUAUAUUUAAAAACAUCAUCCUAAGUCUUGAGAUUCAAACUUUGAGACUCAAGAAUAGGAAUGAGUGGCAGUUGCCCUAUGUAAAACUAAUUAAAGGGGUGAGUUAACACAAACUCUAUCCCUUUCUUUUGUACUUUAGCCUUCUAUUAUUAAUGCAUAUCCAUAUGCUCAAAAUCUAGAGUACUCAAGUGAUACUAACUUUAUUUGCUCAUAACUUCAACAAAAGCCUUCUUAGAGAUUGAAGGACUUAAGUCAUUCCUUUUUUACUUUUUAUGUGUUUAUUUGUGUCUAGAGCAAAAUGCAAAAUCAAGUCAAACAAGUGUAGUAGCAAACAUCCAUUUUACUCUUACCUUUUUUUCUCUUUCACUCUUAUUUUCUUUUCCUCUUUCUUUCUUUUCUAGUACAAACUUUUAGCACACAGACUUUUACCCAAAUUUCUAGGAAUGGCUUAUUCUGACCUUUAAAGUGAUGAUUGCAAAAUAUAUGAACUUUCAACAUUUAAAUUGAGCGGAAUAUUUGGUAUCUCUUUGAUAUAUAUAUAUAUAUAAAAUUCCAUUGGUGCUUCACCAUAUUAACUCUUAUAUGGUUAUUAUUUGAUACUGCCAACAAAGUUAAGUUUACCUUUGUGAUUGUUAUAAACUACUGAUGCUAGGUUUUGGGAUCAAUAUUUGUUGAGCAUUCUUCCAUUUAUUUGAGUGGAGUUUAUUGAGCAUUUAGGCUAUAUAUAAGUGGGAUAAUAACAACACAACAACUUCCAUCAUUAUCCAUCAGUGAAAUACAAAGUGGAUGACUUGGUAAUAACUCAUUUUCCUUAUGUUACAAUAUAUGGUUUGUCUAAGGGGCUCCUUAUUCAGUGGAACAAACCAUAUUAAAUAUUGUGGUAAGUUAAACUACACAUUUAUAAGGUUUGGUAAAAUAUUCAACAAACCAAUCCUUUAGAAAUUAUAUAUAUGCAAUAACUUAAACGCUUUGUAUAAAGGGAUCAGGCACCAUCUACAGAUCCACCAAUGCCUCCUCUUGAUGUUCCUCUAAAUCCUAGCCUGUCAACCUGAAAACCUUAACUACCUUUCAUCCUUCUAAAAACAUAAUGUGAGGUCUAAGUGUAUAAUUAUGAUGUUGUAUAUAAAUAUUAGUAUAGUGGUAUUUUGAUAGUCAUAAGAUUGACUACAGAUUUUUGAUAAUUCAUACAAAGCUAAACCUUAAUUAAAUUGUAUAAAAAACUUCACAUUGAUGUUAAUCAUAUUAGUCAAACAACAGUACUUAAGUAAUCUAAUUUAACAAAAUUUAAUUAAUUUAUACACUAUCAUUAGUUGUGAGUGCUUGGAAUAUGGAAAGGGAAUACAGAAAAUGUGCAUCUCAAUUAGCCCAAAUACCCUAGCUUAUAUACAAGAGCGAGUGGUCCAGAUUGAAACCAAUCCGACGGCUACUAAAAUUCUACUACGCUAAUAUUAGUAUACAGCAUCGUAGCCAUACACUUGGCCCUCACAUCAUCCCCUCCUCUCGGAAUAAUGGAAGACCAUCAGGGUUCUCUUGUAGACGGGCCGGGAUUGGGAGGAACGUUAGAAGGAGGCAUACUUGCCGCAACACUCGAUAUAGUCCUUUCCACUGCGCAAGGAGCCCCUUAGAUAAACCACAUACCGUAAGAUGGGGAAAACAGACUAACACCAAAUCAUCCACUUUGUACUCUGCAAGUGGACGAUGAUGGGAGUUAUAGUGCCAUUGUUGUCCCAUUUGUACGUGGCCUAAGUGUGUGGCAAAUUUAGCUCGGACAAGUGGAAGAAUGCUCGUUAAAUAUUGAUCCCACGACCAAGCAUCGGCAGCUCAUGGCAAGGUAAACCCAACUCCAUUGGUAAUAUUGGAUCAUAACCAUAUAAAAGUUUAUAUGGUGAAGCACCAAUAGAACUCUGCACCCCCGUGACAUAUGCAUACCGAAGAGACGGCAAAUAACUAUCCCAAUCCGAAUGCUGAAAGUUCAUAUACUUCGUAAUCAUCCUUUUGAAUGUCUGAAUGAGCCGUUCCACCAGACUGUCUAAUUGUGGAUGAUAAGCACUUGUGAAAGUGUGGCGUAUCCCCAACCGAGACGUCAAAACAUGAAAUGCCUUAGCCACAAAUGCGGGACCAUUAUCCGAAAGAAUUUGCUUUGGACAAGAAUGCUGGAACACCACUCGAUUGAGGAGGAAGUAUCCAACAGUAGUUGCAAAGGUGCUAGCAAGAGCACCAACUUCCACCCAACGAGUCAAGUAGUCAGAAACAAUAAUAACAUACUCAUUGCUAACAAUCGAUUGUGGAAAGGUCUUAUAAGAUCAAAUGCUACUAACUCAAAUGGACGGGAAAUUACAAUUGACUCCAACCGUCCUUUGGCAACACGAGGAGGAGUAUUACGAGCUUGGCACCAAAUGCAACUAUGCACAUAUCGAAUAAUAUCAUGUCGCAUCUCCGGCCAAUAGAAAGACCUGUGCAGCUUCUUGGUUACACGACGAUGUCCCAUAUGCCCACCUAGAAUAGGAGAAUCAUGGUAGGCAUGGAAAAACUGCGAAAUAAAGACAGAAGACACCACCAGCCAUAAAUGAUUAUCAAGAUCCGUCCCCACAAAAUAAAGAAGGCCGUCUCUUCAAGGCAAUAUUGAGAAUGUAAAUGCCAAAAAGGCAAAUCAUUAGCAAGUGAUGCAGGAUUCUCAAACCCAUCUCGAAUCUUUCGAAUCCAUGGCUCAAUCUUUUGAGCAUUGCAAACCUCAUCAAGAGAAAGUAAAUUUUGCUUUGCACCUUGUAGACAUUGAACGUCAAGUAUAACAACUGCCGAUGGCAAUGAAUCCUCGUCUAAAAAAUCCACAGAUGUAGGAACAACAGGUUCGUCAAAAAUAUGAGAAGAGAGUGGAAAAGGAAGAGGAGUUCGAGAAAGGAUAUCAGCAUUAGCCAUAGAACUCCCUGGGUGAUGAAUAACAUCAAAAUCAGUUAUUUGAAGCUUCAAAGCCCAUCGAGCAAUACGACCAACCAGGUUCUUCCACUUCAAUAAUGAAGUAAUAGCAGCAUGGUCACCUUCAAGUAACGUCCGAGAACUAUGUAGAUAUGCAUGAAGUUUCUUGAAACCCCAGACUAUUGCUAAAUACUCCUUCUUUGUUGUGGAGUAGUUUAUCUCCGCUGGUUGUAAUGUACGGCUUAUAUAUGCAAUGGGAUGGUGCUGACUAGGCACAUUCGAGCUCUCUUGCAUCAAUACACCUCCAAGACCAAUGUCAAAAGCAUCCACACGCAAAAUAAAAGGUUGAGUGUAGUCAGGAUAUGCCAAAAUCGGAAGAGUUGUUAAUAGCUCUUUGAGAUCCACGAACACCCACUCACAAUUCGGAGACCAGAUGAAAGAUGACGCUGAUGACUUCAGCAACACUCGCAACAGUGCAAUACAAUCAGAAAGAUGAUCCACAAAACAACCAAGAUACUGCACCUUGCCCAAGAAGCACUGCACAUCAUUCAUACACUUCGGAGUAAGGAACUUUAGAAUAGCCACAAGUUUGUCAGGAUCAACUUGCAAACCCUUACGAAAAACACGGUACCCAAGAUAAAUUGUGUUUUUGGACCCAAACACGCACUUCGACCGCUUCAGCUUUAAACCAACAUCGCGUAGCCGAUCCAACACUUUACAAACAUCAUGAAUGUGCUCCUCCCACGUCCCCUCCAAAUGGAUCAAGACAUCAUCAAUGAAGUCAGUAGUCACCUCUGGCAUAUCGCAAAGAACCUUGUCCGUUAUCCGCUGAAAAGUUACUGAAGCAUUGUUCAAACCAAAUAGCAUCACUAAGAACUUGUACAAACCAAAUAGUAUACAAAAAGUAGUCUUAGGAAUAUCUUCUUCGGCCAUCGGUACUUGCCAGUACCCAGAAGUAAGAUCUAGCUUGUUGAAUCAACGACUUUGCCCCAAGCAAUCCAAGAGAUCAGUAGUGUGAUGAAGAGGGUACACAUCUAGGAUCAUCACUUUGUUUAACAAACGAUACUCGAUGUAGAAACGAAUACUCCCAUCAGACUUCGUCACAAAAUGAGGUUCAUAUGCCCAAGGACUCCACGACUUCCGAAUAACACCCUUUUCCAACAUCUUUUUGACGUUUGCACGUAAAAUCUUGAUCUCCUUGGGUGACUGACAACAAACAAAAACCUUGAUUCAAUGAGCAUCCUCGGUUGGAAUCGAAUGACAUGUGGCAAUCUUAGCCUUAGAUGAUAGGUCAAAUUCAAAGAGAUCAGAAUACUCCUUUAUGAGCUGGUCAACUGCUGCAACACAAAGAUUGUUGAAGGGAUUGGAAAAGGGAAGAGCAGAAUAAGACAGAAACAUAAGAGGAAAUAGUGGGGGAACAAAAGUAAUGGAAGUAGAGGUAAAAGUAGAGAGACAAAGAAGUAUGGAAGUGAGAGGAAUGGAUGAAACAUAAAGAAGUAUGAGACAAGGGGGAGAAGCUUCAAAGUCACACUUAGCAUGAUUGCGCUGUAACCAAUCCAUACUAAGAAUGAGGUCAAAAGCUUGACUUGGCACCACCCGCAAUGACUGCAACUCAAGCUCAAGAUCGCCCACAUACACAACCAGGUCUGCCUCAUCCCGUGCACAUACAUAUGUACGACUGUUGCCAUAAAGAAUGAAAACUGGUUCCACCGCACGAUGCAAGUGUAGAUGGCAACGUGUGGCAACAGGUCGAACAAUAGAAGAUAAACUUGAACCUGUAUCAACCAACACAGAGAGAAUAAUAGGAGACCUCUUGUUAUAAAAAUGAGCUUGGAAAGCAAACACUGGAUGAACCGAUACCAAGUGAACCCCUUGAUGAUACUCUCGAAAGAAAGAUGGAGGGGUCAAUAACUUAUUUGUGCAAGGUCCUCUAUUACUUGUGCGACUCCUCAUUUCCCAAAUGCAUCUUGGUGUCCAAACCUUCCACUGUAGUAGCACCAACGGGAUGUUGCUGACGCCAAAGUCUCCACCUAGGAAAUGGAGGUCGCUAAUCCGGAAAAUGCUGACAACGCCGAUAAGUAUGACCAACUUCAUCACACGCCCAGCAGCGAACAUCACGGCCACAACUACGUCCUCGCCCUUGUCCUUGGACUCGAGUAGCAGUAGCAUCAACCUCCAUUGGAAUAUAACCAUCACCCAUAGGAAGUGGAGCUGAAGGAUGUGUAACGAGAAGUGGAAGAGGCGACAUCUCAUAACAUUGUGCCAAGUGGAGAGCAUCAUCAAGGGUGGCAGGAGCAAGUGCAUGCACAAUUCUGACAAGAUCUUAACGAAGUGCUGGCCAUAACAUUCCUAGUUUGAUCCGCUCCGACAUAUUUGGCUCCACACGAAGCAAAAGACUUCGGAAAUGAAUGCCAAAUUGCAUCACUGACUCAGAUGGCCUUUGGCGAAGAUGAUGCAAUUGUUGGAAGGCAUCAUCACAAUCGUCGGCAUGUCCAAAGGCGCAUUUGAAGAUGUCAAGGAGAACACUCCAAUCCCCACAAGUGGCUUUGCUCAAACCAUUGUACCACUAUAAUGCUAUCCCUUGAAAACACAUGGGAAACUCACGCAAAUGUUGAGCAUCAUCCCAAGAAUGAUAUGUGGCAAUCACCGUGAAGUGAUUGAACCAAAGGUACAUAUCAUCCCCAGGAUUUCUGUGAAAGAACUCCGGCCGAACGUGAGGAUUGGCACCAAGAGCAGGAGGAGUUGUACCAUGUGUUGUGAACGCCACCAUCAACUGAGUUUCGUUGUUUAAUUGCAAAUGCAUAGCAUCAAGCAAUUGUACCAACUGCUGCUCCAGAGUCAAAAGAGGAGAUUGUUGAUUUGCCAUGAAGAUGAACGAAAAAGAAAUAGCAAAAGAAGAGAAAUGAUAAAAAGCUAGAAUGAAAUGGUAGAUCUAGACAAUGCAAAAAGCUAAAUCUAAACUAAAAUCAUGAAAGGAAAGAAUAAAAGAAAGGAAAUGGAAAAAGCUAGAUCUAGACGAUGCAAAAGCUAAAUCUAAACCAAAAUCCUAAAUCCAAACACUUCUUAGGGACAAUCAAAGUUGCCCCUCAUCUCCACCAAUGUGAGUGCUUGGAAUAUGAAAAGGGAAUACAAAAAUUGUGCAUAUCAAUUAGCCUAAAAACCAUGGUUCGGAUUGAAACCAAUCCAAUGGUUACCAAAAUCCCAUUACACUAAUAUUAGUAUAUGGCAUCAUAGCCAUACACUUGGCCCUCACAUAGUGUAACUAAAAGAACAAACACAAAGAAUACUUGUCUAAAAAAAAAACCUAUUCUUUACUUUUGUCUUUAAGUAAUAGCUUCUAAAGUGAAACUUUGAGGAGUAGUGACUAUGAUGUUGUAUAGCCUCCUAGAUAUCAAGAACAUUUAAGAUCCUAUACUAUUUUAUUGCAGGUGCCAUAGCGUAAGAAAGAAUAGGGGGUGAGAGAGCACAAGAUAAGGACAUGAAUCUGUAGAAAGAUGCUUGUUGAGAGCUCUCACCACCUUUCUGAAUUAUUAAAAAUAGCAGAUUAAGAUUCUUCUACCUAAUCAGACAUCCAUUACAAACCAUGGUCAGCACUCAGACUCAGAGUGUAUGGAGUGAAUAUACUUGAUGGGCCGCCCUAAUCACGUGAAUGGCAAGGUCCAUGCUUGUGAUCAACUCUAGCAGCUCAUCGAUCAAGUGAGUAAAGAUUUUUGUGAAGAAAGAGUUCCUCUAGAGGGUCAAUGUAUUGUAGGUAUGCCCUGUAUCAUCUGGGAAGAGUGGCUUCUUGCAUUUUCCAGGGCAGUGUGGAAGGCAUUGGAACUUCCAAGAGCUCCAUCUCCCACAAGAGCAUCUCCACUGCCCAAGAUCUAAAAAUCAUGGUAUUUAUGUUCUAGCAAUCUUAAAGCCUUUGUACAUGGAUAGCUGGGUUGCUAAUAGUUUUUGGUUUUCUUCCAGGGAAAAUGUAUUAGAGACCACGAAGCUGGUCUCAAGAAAGUGAUGGAUUUGCUCCAGCAGCCACAAAAUGUUUGCACUGUUGGGCACCAAGUCGUUCACGGCAAUGAGAAAUUUAGCAAACCAACGCAUAUAACUCAAGAGGUGAAGAAAGCAAUUGAGAGGGCUAUUCCUCUAGCUCCACUUCACAAUCCAGCAAACUUGGAGGUAACAGAUCUUUACUUUCUUUUUCCAAAAAGAAAAAUCCAUUUAUUUGUCCCGUUUUUUCUCCAACCUUUCUCUUAAAAUGAUCACAAAAACUUUCUAGGGAAUUCAAAUUGCUGAGGAGCUCUUCCACUGCCCCCACAUAGCCGUCUUUGACACAGCCUUCCACUCCACCAUCCCCCAGCUAUCAUACAUGUACAGAAUCCCCUAGAAGCUGUACAAAGAGCUGGGUGUACGGUGCUAUGGCUUCCACGGGAUGAGCUACCAGUUUCUUCUUGGCGAGGCCUCCUGCGCUCUUGGAAGGCUAGCGCUGGAACUUAAUCUCAUUGCCUUCCAUCUCGGCACUGGAGCAAGAGUGUGUGUGAUCAAAUAUGUGGAAUUGAUCGAUACAAGCAUGGGAAUGACUCCACUCGAAGGUUUAGUGAUGGCUACUCGGAGUGGUGGUGUUGAUCUUUUAGAGACUUAAUUAUUAGUGAAUAAAGCUUAUAUUAAAACACAAAAGUAUUCCAAAUAAGUUAUCAUCCAAUCAAUCAAUAGUAGAGUACAUGAACCACUAAGAUCAGCAUAUUUGGAAAACAUAGGAUUCACCAUCCAACAAAAUUCAAUAGCCAGUGUAUCAUCAAGGAAACUUACUGAUAAAACUUAACUACUAAAGAUUGUAAAUAGCAUGUCAAACAACUUACAAAAGAUAACUUAAAGAACACAAAGCAUCAUUAACUAGCAAGUAAGAUGCUCGUGAAUGUACCACUUAAAGGAAAUAACAUCCAAUCUAUUGAAUGUAUUACCUAAUGCCAAUCAUUGCACUAGCUAUUCUGAAUAAAUCCCAAUCAAUAAUAUGAAGGAACUCAAGUUGCUUAAACAAGUGUUAGCAACAUCCUAUCAAUGUCUCAAACCCGAAAGACCAAUCCAAAGCAAACCACAAAAACAUGUGGUAUUGUGAAAAGCCAUAAGCCAUUAAAGCAAAUAACUAACUAUCACAAAAGAUCAUUAAUCAUCCUAUGCCAUCCGCUUCUAUCCUUCACUAGAGCUAAGAAAAAGGCUCUGAUACUAAAUUGUAAGCCAUAAAUUUUUCCUUUCCAAUUUGCCAGCUUACCUUGUCUAUCCAACCAACACUGCCUUGGCUUUUGCCAAAUUCCCUCACCAAGGUUCCUGCCUAUGGUACCAACUCCUACUUGGUCCUACUUGGUUUCAGUUACUCACUACAUGAGUAAUAGAGCGUUAACCAUCAAUUCAUGGAUUCCCAAAUCUCUCCCACUCCCCCUCCCCGGGUUAGACUGGACUUAAGGUUCGACUACACUCCCCGUAGGCACAAGUAGCCAAGCACACCAAGCCUCCAAGUUCCUAACAUCCCUUGGUACCACAAUACUUGAUCAUGGGACCCUCUAAAUCCCAAGUCUUGAGUGCAACACAUGCUUCAAGACGCCGGGGCGAAACACAAUGGCCUAACGGCCUAGUAUGGGUACCUCUACCCCCCCCCACUUCCAUCCCACUUGCAUCUUCCCCAUCUCUCGAGGAAGUCGGAGAUGGUAAACCACUUUACCGAUUCGUGCCUUAAUCUCGUAAGGCCCUGCGAACCUGUUUAAGGAACUCAAGAUCAAUUCAAUUCUAGGAAUACAUGCAUUUUUACCUUUGGGUCAACUUCCAGUUGAUCCCACUUGGCAGCCUGAGGUUCUUGGUGUUCAGCCACACCUUCUUCCCAACUUGGAACUCUACAUUCCAACGCUUCUGGUUCGCAUAUUUGGUUUGCCUUUGUUGAGCCCGUUCCAAGGAAUCCCUCACUAGAUUCCAAAUGUUGAAUCUUUCCGCCAUGAAUGCCUCCACUGCAGGUAACUCUCCAUGGUACUCAACCAUGCCAAGCUCCAUAGGACCUUCAAUAGCUCGCCCAUUGAUGACUUCCCAUAGACUCACCCCAAUACUCGAAUGUGGUGAGUUGUUAUAACAUAUUUCCGCAAGUCCCAAAUGACUUACCCAAUCGGUCUGGUCUCCUGAGACAUAGCAUUGCAAAUAAUCCUCCAGUUGCCUAUUCACCCUUUCUGUUUGUCCGUCUGUCAAGAAGUGUUAGUGCCAUCAAACUUGACUUAAUACCCAAUACCUAUCUAUGGGUGAUAAGCUGUGUUGAAUUUCAACUUGGUGCGAUAUUGUUCUAGAAGAGUUCUCCAGAACCUACUAGUGAAGAUCUUAUCUCAAUCUGAGAUGAUCUCUUCCGGCCUUCCCUGCACUCAAACCACUUGUUCGAAGAACAACUUCGCUACACCUUCCGCAUCCACUUCCGUUGUGGUGGGUAUGAAAUGUGCCAUCUUCGAAAAUCGGUUAGUGCUUGAGCUCCUCGAGUUCUUUUUGGUUUGGCCCCUUUGCUAAAUGUGGACCCCAACCUUGUUGUGUUCCCCUUUCGUAGGUUAUCGUUGAAAUGCACCUUGAUGGCUGCAUCCAAUGCUUCCUUGUAGUUGGUCGUGUUCCAAUGCAUUACCUCAUCGCGAGCCUAGGUUUGCAAGCUUGAUAUGAAGGCAUGGAACGCAUCCAUAUCCCCCAUGUCCGUGACAAGUAUCCUCUUUGCCAUAAACCCAUUCACAUACUUCUAAAUGAUUCCAAUCUACUUUAGCCUACUAAGCUCGUCUUUUAGAUGUAGAGUAGCAUUUGGAGGAACGUAAAUCACGCGGAUCCUUGCUUUCAUCAUUUCCCAAGUGGCCACCGGUCCUUCGUUGGCCUUUAUCGUUCCCCACCAAGACUUGGCAUUAUCUGCUAAGUAUGGUUUUGCACAUGAGACCUUCUCCAAGCUUGGUAACUGCAACGCUUGAAAAUAGUCCUCCAUAUUGUAAAACCACUCCUUCACCACCUUAUAGUCAUUCACUCCCUUGAAGAUCAGUGGGGGCUUUGGUUUGUACUUGGGACUGAUUCCACUUUGGUCUGUUCGACCUUGUUUGGUUUUGCCUCAGUCCCUGCCGAAGGGUUCACACCUUCUGCACUGCCAGCAUCCGCAGUCUUUUGCCUUUUCUUCCGCUUCUUAUCACGCUUUAGCUUGCGUCCGAGAGUCUUCAGUAGGGCAUUGGUCUGUGCCAAUUGUCCUUCUAGAAUGUCCAAUUGAGCCUUGGACGACCGAACCUUACUACCGGACUCUUGUUUGGAAGUUUCCUCAUUGGAGUCCUCCUCAUGCAAGGAUUCCUCAUCCAUAGCCUUUUGUUCGACCGAAGGCUCCAGCUCUGAAGGAGGUUCCAUCUCUGCCUUGGUUUGUUUCCGCCCUGCCUUUGCCAUCUCCCAGCAAUCCGCCUCUAUCCUUCGCUAGAACUGAGGAAAAGGCUCCAAUACCAAAUUAUAAGCCACAAAUUUUUCCUUUCCAAUUUGUCAGCUUACCUCGUCUAUCCAACCAACACUGCCUUGGCUUUUGCUAAGUUCCCUUGCCAAGGUUCCCGCCUAUGGUACCAACUCCUACUUGGUCCUACUUGGUUUCAACUACUCACUACACGAGCAAUAGAGCAUUAGCCAUCCAUUCAUGGAUUCCCAAAUCUCUCCUAAUCCCCCUCCCCGGGUUAGAUUGGACUUAAGGUUCGGCUACACUCCCCGCAAGCACAAGUAGCCAAGCACACUAAGCCUCCAGGUUCUUAACAUCCCUUGGUACUACAAUACUUGAUCAUGGGACCCUCUAAAUCCCAAGUCUUGAGUGCAACACAUGUUUCGGGACGCUAGGGCGAAACACCAUGGCCUAACGGCCUAGUAUGGGUACCUCUACCCCCCCCCCCCCCCCCCACUUCCAUCCCAAAGGGAAGGCCCAAGCCCUUGGGAAGGGCGAGGACCAAUGAGCCGCAAGGUACUCAAAUAGGGCACCACUCCAUAUGAGCCGAGAGCACCACAGUCGGUUUCCCUUUCGGGAGUGGGAGCUGCUAUUGAGCACUUCCUUGGGUGGCCCCUCUGGCACCACCCGAGUCCAUGCUCACUCCCACCCAAGGCCCCUCGGCCCCAGUCUCAACCUCAAGUCAGUUUGGAAGCACCACUGAAGAGUUCCUUCAAGACUGGUUCUUGGACCUCACUAUCCCUAUUAUACUUUUGGAACCCCUGCAGCCCCCCCCCCCCGGGAGACGCACGCUUUGGGCUUUCACCCCUUGACCUGUAUUAGUACUUGGACUCGGUCUCGGACUUGAUCUUGGACUUGAUCUCGGACCCGACUUUGGACUUGGUCUUGGACUCGAUCUUGGAUCCAAUCUCGGACUCGACUUCGGACUCGACCUCGGACUCGGUCUCAGAACCGAUCUCGGAUCUUGGACUUUAUCUCGAACUCGGUCUCCGAGUCGGCCUCGGACUCGAGCCCGGACUCUAUCUCGAACUUGGUUUUAAAGUCGGUCUUAGACUCGAUCUCAGACUCGGUCCCAUCCGAUGAACUCUUUGUCAUUUCGGUCAUGCUUUUGGGGAUCCUUUAGCCUACGACACCUCGGGGAGUUGGUUCCUUACAGUAAGUCACUUUAUAAUAAGCAUAAAAAUCAUCAUCAAUGAUCAAUAUAUAGGAUUCAACAUCUUCAAUAUUGAUCAUUAACUCUUCCUCUUGUAAAGUUAGUAUAGUCCACGACUGAAUCACUUUUCAAGGAAAAGCUAAAGCUGUUGACCCCUACUAAACAAUCUCGUCUAGAACACAACUAACUCAACUUGCAACUCAGUUUAUUUGAACGUCAACAUAAUUGUUAACUAGUAAAUACAUGAAUGCCAAUAACAUAAAGCUAUAGCCCAAACAUCAACACUAUUUAUAUCAAGACUAAUGAAAUUCAAUAUCAAUCUUAUGGAGAGAUAUUUCAUUUCAGUCAAAUCUCAACAACAAGGCAUCACUUCAAUGCCAUCAACACCAUAAUAAAGCUAAAAGAAAGCAAGAGCGAAUCACCACUCAAAGCUCUUUAGCAACCAAGCUAAACAAAGUCAAAAAUACCUUAGUUAGUAUCUGAGACCAAUCCUUCAACACUACUUAGUUACAAAUAACACACUAUCAAAGAGUGAUUCACCACAUCCAAGACUCCAUGAAAUCCAACACCAUGGACUAAACGCAAACAAAUGAUAUCGACAAAGGUAGACUUGAUAUACCAACAUGGAAAAACUAUAUAAGUUUAACGACAUGAUCUUUUACAACACCAUCUAGUAAAGCAAGCUUAUCACUGCUAAAUCAUCAUCGAGCAAAGCAAGUGUUAAAUAAUCCUUAACAAAGUCUACAAGCAAUCAUUAAUUUCCAAACAACUAACAAUCACUCUUCAAUUUGCCUUCACAAGACUUGAACACUAAACUCAUGCCAUCAAAUCAUAUACUUGUCUAACAUAAACAUAAUACCUCAAGUACGAGAUAAAGGUUUAUGGACAGGCAUAAAUUAAAUGACUACUUGAAUCCAAUUCAACCGCAAUAAGCUCAUCAAUAUGUUUAGAUAAUAGCUCUGAGCAUGCCUAAAGAGGCUAGCUAUGCAUGAUCAACAUUUAGUCGUAACUAAAGUGAAAAUCAUAAGAUGGACUCAUAUCAGUACACAACCUCCUCAUAUACAAAGUUAUAGUAUGGGUACCAACAUUUUAACCUCAGACAACUAAGUUGGACAUCACCAUCCUUAGCCAAGGCACAGGGCCACCAAAACUAAGUUAAGAUCAAUGAGAGCUCACUACUCUCAUAUAGUUUAACAAAAUGCAAAGUGAGCCUACCACCAAGCACAAUGCUACAGAAAAAAGGCACAAGAGUCACAUUUCUAGAAAAUUGUAAUGACUACUUUUCUACAUCAACUCCAGACUCUAUCCAACUCAAUUGCUUUAGCCUCAAAAGUUAGCAUCCCUUUCGGGCCGUAUUAUACAAACUACUUACUAGGGUUUAAGCUAACCAAAAUCAACUUCAACCCCUUCACUAGUUUGGAUUGGCUUACAAAAUAAAUUAAUUUUUGAGCAAAGUGAUCAAUAGAUCAACCAUUGAAAAAUCCUAAAAAAAUUUGUAGAAAAUUUUCCAUCCUAGAGAAAGAAUGAUUCUCAGUCUAGGAAUGCAAACUUUCAAGACUCAACCAACUUCCUCCUACUAACAACUUCACAUAUGUUCACCUCAACACUAAUUGUCAUGACUCAACAAUAUAUUUAAGCAUCGAACAUCAUGCCCAUAUUUCGACAUCCAACACAGACAUCUGCAAAAAUGCAUAAUGAACAUUUAAGGCUUGAUCAUGAAGACUAUAUCUUCAGAUAUCCAUAUUACACUAACACUAUUCUUCAAUUACCUUCAACAUUUAAUAUGAAGCCAAAACACUAACAAGAAAAAUGACAUGGAAAAUCAAAUUCUAAAGAAAAUUCCUCAUCACUUGAAACAACAAUGCUACUUCCUUAACACGAGUGCUAACAAUGUCAAUGCUUCAACUACACACCUUCUCCAUCCAACAAUCUACUCCAAGUGCUAACAGAUCAACUAACAAGCUAUAACAAGUGAAUGUUAUAACCCUUUCUAACACCUUAUGGGCAAACCCUUAAGUAAAUAAUGUAUUGACUUAAGCUUAGCAUAAUGGAUCAUCAUCCAGAAUCUAGUCAAAGCUAGUAUAUGUAAGUAGACUAGUUUUUCCAUCAACCACUUUGGGGUUUAUCAUCAUUUACAACUUCAUAAACACAUUGCACACUAUCACAUGGGUAUGAUAUAAAUUCACAAUGACUUAAUCAUUAAUUGAGCAACACCACAAGCAAUACCCAUGUCACUACUACAAAGUUUAUGUGAGUAUCAAGUAUUAACUCAAUUCGACAAAAUGCAACAUAAAUGCCACACCCCAUCGAUAGAGAUUUACAACACCCAAUACCACUAACUUUUGUUCACAACAUGGACAAACUCAUACCACUUUUUUUUUUACUAAACUCAAAACUAAUUUAACACCAAGCUACUUAAGGAGCAAUAGCAAGGUUCUCCAGAAAAGAUUUGAGCAUUAUAACCCAAGUCUUCUAAUAGUAAGUCAAGUUAAAGUGGUUUAACAUUUCACGAUUAUCCAUCUUUAACCAAACCUCAAGCUUGCGUUCGCACUGCUUUUAGUCCAAUCCAAGAAACUUUUAUGAGAGAGCAUGGCAAUGAUUAUUUGAACCAAUAGACUUAUCCCUAUAGUCUUGAUUGAUCCACUUAUAAUUAUGCCUAGGAAUGAUCCACUAGUGUCGUGCUAACAACUAUAGGCCAACCUAUUUACCACUCUUAGAAAACUCAAGGAAGGUUUAUUUUUUCUCACGGUACAUAGAACAACUCAUGGAACCAUUGGAAUCAUUUAUGGAACCACUGAUAGGUUAAUAUUAAUCCUAUUAACUCAAAGUGUAACCUCGAGUUGCUAAUGUGCUUCACUCACGAGCCUAAGCACAAAUUUGUGUAUAAUGGUACAUCUCAGUCCUUCUUAGGAGCCCAAGAGCAAACUCAUAUAAUAAGGUACAAAAAUGCAACCAAAUCCAUACCCAAGAAACAAAUGUGAAGCCUUUGCACCCAAACGUGUACCCACUCGGAUCAUCAUUUUCAUCUCUACAUAUUCAACGAAAUUAGUUGCCCAAUCUCAUUGGAUAGUACUUGCUAAGACUCAUCCUCUGAUACUAAUUGUAGCGCAUGUGGUUUUCACCCUUUAUCCUAUGGUGAUUUACCAUAGGAUAACCACGAAGCGGAACCUAAACCCUUUAUAUACCAUGUGUCACAUGCCACGUGUCCAAAAGAUAGUGGAGUGGAGCUUGAGUUUCAAAGCCUUAGGCCACUGAAUGAAAGAAUGGUGCCAAACUCCCAAAUAUAGAACCAAAGAGUAAUGGCACUAGAGCAUGGAAUGAAUCCCAAGCGUAUAGCCCAAAGAGUGAAAAGAUAGAAGCAUGAAGCGAUUUGGAAUAGUUAUAGAGCAUCUAACAUCCUAAUGCCAGAACCAACACGUAAAAUGGUGCCAAAUGGAGUCUGGCGUUAUUUCAGCAUAUCGGUGGCCUAACAUAAAGAUAUAAGUACUCCACCUGGAACUUAGGUUUAAACCCAAGCCGGAUGUAGAAUAAAGAUAAACACACAAACGAGAGCUAGAUUAUGCCCCAAGUUGGUCAGCUAUGCCCAACCUACCCAUUAUCCCUACUAUACAUUUGGAACCCCCUAUAUCCUGCUACACCUCCUCCCCCUCCCCCCCCCCCUGAGGAACACAUGCUUUGGGCUUUCACCCAAGCUUCCCUUAGUAUUAGGAGUUAGUUUCUGAGACAAGCUCGAAACUUACUAAAUGUGGAAUCCCCCUAAAUUGUGAAUUUGAACAUGGGACAAACACCAUUGUGUUCAAGACAAUCUCUACAUUCUGUAAAUAUGUCAAAUGAGCAAAUCUAAACACUUUUCAUAAAUAACAUUUGGGACUAAAAUGAGAUUAAUACAAAGAACAUGAUAGUGAGGGUAUUGUAAGCUCUUGAGUUUUGGACUUCCCGGGAGGUCACCCAGCCCAGUACUAUUCAAACCCAAGGACGCUUAACCCCAAGUAUCCCAAGACCCUUAACCGAUUGGAAAAGGGGGUGCACUCUUGUUCAUGGGCCCUUUCCCUCUAUAUUUGAACCCCAUGGAUCGUCUCUCGAGUCGUUCCCUUUGGUUGCUUACAGGUAUUUGGCAAACACAGUAAGCUAUCGUUUAGUGAAUAUUGAGGGACGAAGCUCAAUAUUACAAGGGUUCUUAACACUAGCAAGUGCAAAUCAACAACACGAGUUUCUCGUUACCAUGUUUAGUAUGCUUGAUUUAAUAAUAACUUAGGAUUUCCUUCUUUAGUGCCCUUCUGGCUUAAGUGCAUAUGUGCUAACCAGUUUCUCAACUAGCUUGGGUGGAGACCAUAAGGGAACUAACAGUAGUAACCUUUUGCUAUUAUGGUAAUAUGGAGAGAGUGUAUGUAAGGAUUGGUUGACAAAUAUCUUUUGAUACCUGAAGUCAUAUUUGCGACAAAAAUGUGCUUGUGUUGUCAUAACUAUUGUAAGUAAUGUUACUUCCAAUAAACACACACAUAUGAUUAACUUUUCUUUCAUAAAAAGUAUCAAAGAUUUAUCUACUUCUUGAGCAGUUAAAAAUCUAAUUAAAAUUAAAAUUAAUUGAAUUCAAAAAAUUAAAUCAAUUAGUACCAUAAAACUUCUCCAAGCAAAUAUAUUACUUUCUAGUGUUGUGUUUCCCAUUAUAAAAAUGGGAUAAAAAUCCUAAUAACUAUAUUAAUUAACAUUUUAGUAAAUUUAGAAACGUACUCAUAGUAAAUGAAGCCAGUUGUUUUCAUACCUAUUAAAUUACCUUUCUCAUCUAUACAAUUUGAAAAUUCAGUUCCAUAUAUUGUAAACACUUUAAAAGCCUCUAUAUUAUCAAUAAAUAAUUUAUUUUGAUGACUUGUUAAUGUCCAAGUUCUAUGAUCAAUUUUUCCAUCAUGAAGCAGCCACAUAUUUUACUUCAUUCUGCACACAACUAAGUCUUUUUUAGUACUUAAUUCAUCAUUUUUACCAGUAAUAGUUUUAUAUAUAAUUUCAAAAACAUUCUUAAAUAUAUGCGUGUAAUCCUUUAAAAAUGCUAUUGGCAACUUAUAAAAAUAUGGAAGUUGAUAAAAUGUGAAUAUAACCAUUUCAUACCAUUAGGUAAUGAUAUUUGAUCUUCUUGUCUAACCAAAUAAUAAUAUGGUACCUAUUUUUUUGGAUUCAUUUGUCCUAGUAUUGGUCAAAUAUAAUUAUGACUAUUAAANNNNNNNNNNNNNNNNNNNNNNNNNNNNNNNNNNNNNNNNNNNNNNNNNNNNNNNNNNNNNNNNNNNNNNNNNNNNNNNNNNNNNNNNNNNNNNNNNNNNAUGUUUUAGAAAUAAUAACUAAAAUCUUACAUUCUAUUAGUAGACCUAAAUAGAUGAUCUAUAGGUAAGAAACACCAAUGACCAAUAUAUAUGCUUUUUUAUAAACUUCUUGACUAUAUUCUAAGAAUCUAGAUCCACAAUCUGGGUAAAAGUAUUUUCCCAUUAGUUCAAAGUCUUGGAACAAAAUCAUAAUCCAGGAAAAUCAUGAAUAAACUAUCACACUACUUCUCUAAGCUUAAAAAACUGUUGACCCUCUAGCUUAGAAUUAUCUUUGCAUGGCACUCCAUCCCAUAAUUGUUUUAACUCUUCCAACAAUAAUAACCAAUAAAUAUUAAGUACCUUAGGAAGUUUUGGCCCUAGAAAAAUUAUAGAUAUAAAUAUUUCAAUUUAUUUUUUUAAACUAAUACCUAGUAUAAUCAUAAUAAGGAAUAUAAAUGAAGGCUUAAUUGCUAGAGUUGGUGGUAUAUUAUUAUUAAUUGCAACAAUUGCCUAACAUGAAUAUAUUUUUGCCAUUAAUUUUGUUGGAGAAAGAUCAUCUGCAGCCAUACUAAGAUGUAUAUUUCUUGGAUCUACUGCAAAAUCUGGAUAAUCAUCUUCGAAUUUUUUUUUAAGUUGAACCAUCUGCAGGCAUUUUCAUUAUUCCAUUAGUGGAUUGAUGAUAAAAUGAUAAGUUAUAUAUUGUGUUAUUUCUCUAUANNNNNNNNNNNNNNNNNNNNNNNNNNNNNNNNNNNNNNNNNNNNNNNNNNNNNNNNNNNNNNNNNNNNNNNNNNNNNNNNNNNNNNNNNNNNNNNNNNNNCAUUAUUUUCUCAGGUAUAUAAUUAUUAAAAUCUUUGUGCUUGCUAGCAUUAGAAAUUCUACAAAAUUGAAGGUCUUUAUUCUCCUUAUAAAAUAACAUACAAUCAUUCUUCCUUUUGUCUUCCAAAAGGUACUCCGACACUAGAGCAUACAGUCAAUCCAAGCUUGCGAACAUCUUCCACGCCAAAGAACUGGCAAUGAGAUUCAAGGUAUUCAUCUAAUGCUUUGAAAUCUCUCCCACCUUUCUCUUUUGUCAAUGCUUUCUCUUUUGCUGAUUAGGCUGAAGGAGUUGACAUCACAGCCAACGCUGUUCAUCCAGAGUUUAUAAUGACACCUUUGAUGUGGUACACAUUCUACAUAAUGAGUUUGUCUCUUUGCCUCAUUUGUUUUCGGUUACUUAUGGAACUUUGAUCUUCAUGCAGGGGUUCUCAAGUUCCUCUCCAGCUUCCUUUGGAAAAAUGUCCCACAGGUAAGAAAAAUUCUCUCAAUUAUCUGGAAGUUUUUUGUGACUAAUACGUGAUCGAUCUCUCAGGGCGCUGCUACGACGUGCUACGCGGCUUUACAUCCAAGCCUCAAGGAUGUCACUGGGCAAUACUUCGUGGAUUCCAACAAAUCCAACUGUAGCGCUUAUGGCAGAGAUCCCGAGCUCACUCACAAGCUAUGGACCUUCUCCCAGGAGCUUAUAGACAAGCAUUUUCCAUCCUAAAGGUAAAAGGUUGAUAGUGCUAGAGAGCGAGUGAGCAAACAAGGACAACUCAGCUGUUUACCAUAAAGACGAAUAUGAUUUAUAAUAAUUUGUAUAAGGUAAAUAUAAUUACUUCUACACCUUAAACACCAACAUGCAACUCUCAUUCCUAAAUCCUAAACAAAAAACUUAAUACAGAUCUGAGGAAAAAAACAAAUUAGGAAAUUAUGUGUUAAAAGUGGGUACAUUAUACUACUAUUAGUAAGUUAGUUGAUGUAAAUAUUGUUGAAAUUUAUGACUAAAAAUUUUGGAACUACAAACCUUAAGAACUUACAUUUUAGUCACAGUUUAAAAGUUGUAAAUUGCAACUCUAAUUAGCAGCCUAUAUGAACUUAUCUAGCUUUAAAGAACAAAUUAUGAUUUAUAUUUUAGUUGUAAAGGACAACUAUAAUUUCCAACUUAAAUUUGAGUAACUAUAAAGCUAUCUUAAAAUUUGUAACUAAAGCCAAUUUGCUACAUUUAAGUUGAGUUGAAAAUUAAAACUUAGAUUUCGAACAAACACAAAAAUUUCGUUGGAAAAACAUAUCAUUAUAAUGCUUUUAUGUAGUAGUGUACGGACUGGCAGAAGUCAAGUCUAAGUCUUGACCUGCCGAAGUCCACAUUGUAUCCACCGUGGCCAAAAAAUCACCACAAGAAAAAAUUGUGCAAAGGUCUAUGUUAUGUAAUAUAGUUGAUAGCCCAGUAUACCAAUGGCAAAUCCCAAAUCCCCCACUUUAUUGACUACAAAGCUUUCAUCAAGGUUCAAUCGGCUCGAAGUCAAGUGUGCCAAGAAUUGAUUAACAUUUGUGCGUGUAAACUCUGUGAAAAGAAGAACCUCAUCUUUCAUGAUAGCUCCCACUCUUUGAUGUUCUGAUCCAUGGCCAUGUCUCUCGCGGAUUUGCUGCUGCCUUUGUUUCGUACUCGUCUUUCUCACAAGAUCCCGGUCACAGUGCCCCACAAAUCCAUCUGCAAUCGUGAACGACACACAGGUUCUUCUCUCUCUCCGUGACAGGCUUGGCAUCAAAGUGUGGAACGAGACUGCCGAUCCAAGAGCAUGGCGGGGAGUGGAGUGGAGCUCGGACAACCAAGUGGAGGGCCUCGCUCUGUCCAGGUUUAAUCUCUCGGGAGUUUUUCCUGCCACCUGGGCCGAGCUUCCAUCGCUGGCUCGCCUGGACCUCUCGCAAAACGGCCUCUCCUCGCUGGAAGUCCCUUGCAAAAAUACGCAGCUCAACCUCCUCAACUUGAGCUCCAAUUCCCUGCAAGAGUUCCCCGGAAAUCUCUCCAACCUCAAGAGUUUGGAAAGCCUGGACCUCAGUGGGAACUUCUUAACAGUGGCCGGACUCCCAAAGUUUAGCUUGACGCUGCGAUCGCUCAACCUGUCCAUCAACAACUUAACUGGGAGCUUUUCCAUUGGUGGUAACCUGGGACUGGAGGCACUGGAACUCUCGCAGAACGGACUCAGCGGCUCCAUUCCAGAAACUUUCGGGGAGAUGACGAACUUGAAGCGCCUGGACAUAUCGUAUAACAGGUUUAGAGGAGAUCUACCCGAUAUUUGGAGCAAGAACUUGGAGCUCAGGUACAUGCGUAUCUCCAACAAUUCGCUCCAUGGUGGUUUGCCACCGAGCUUGAGAAGGCUACGCAAGCUCUCUGUUUUACGCGCUGCAUACAACUCUCUCUCCGGGCCACUGGAGCUGGAAGAUGGCAACUUUGCAAGCAUCGAGGUUUUGAACCUCGGGCUAAACGGGUUUAGCGGAACGAUCCCGGCUACGCUGGGAAGCUUGAGGAACUUGAAGAUCCUGGUUCUCACGGGGAAUCAUUUUAGUGGCGCCAUACCACUGGAGCUUGGAAACUGGUCGAACAUCAGAGAGAUAUGGCUUGACAGCAAUAACUUGACUGGAACAAUCCCAGGCGAGCUCUCGAAGCUCUCGCAUCUCCAGAAGCUGGUUCUCACGGGGAAUCGUUUUAGUGGCGCCAUACCGUCGGAGCUUGGAAACUGGUCGAACAUCAGGGAGAUAUGGCUCAACAGCAAUAACUUGACUGGAACAAUCCCAGGCGAGCUCUCGAAGCUCUCGCAUCUCCAGAAGCUGGUUCUCACGGGGAAUCGUUUUAGUGGCGCCAUACCGUCGGAGCUUGGAAACUGGUCGAACAUCAGGGAGAUAUGGCUCAACAGCAAUAACUUGACUGGAACAAUCCCAGGCGAGCUCUCGAAGCUCUCGCAUCUCCAAAGGGUGGUUCUCACGGGGAAUCGUUUUAGUGGCGCCAUACCUCCGGAGCUUGGAAACUGGUCGAACAUCAGGGAGAUAUGGCUCAACAGCAAUAACUUGACUGGAACAAUCCCAGGCGAGCUCUCGAAGCUCUCGCAUCUCCAGAAGCUGGUUCUCACGGGGAAUCGUUUUAGUGGCGCCAUACCUCCAGAGCUUGGAAACUGGUCGAACAUCAAAGAGAUAUGGCUCGAUAGCAAUAACUUGACUGGAACAAUCCCAGGCGAGCUCUCGAAGCUCUCACAUCUCCAGCAGCUGGUUCUCACGGGGAAUCGUUUUAGUGGCGCCAUCCCAGGCGAGCUCUCGAAGCUCUCGCAUCUCCAAAGGGUGGUUCUCACGGGGAAUCGUUUUAGUGGCGCCAUACCUCCGGAGCUUGGAAACUGGUCAAACAUCAGGGAGAUAUGGCUCAACGGCAAUGAUUUGACUGGAACAAUCCCAGGCGAGCUCUCGAAGCUCUCACAUCUCCAGCAGCUAGUUCUCAGCAGUAACGACAUCGGUGGGGAGCUCCCUUCCGGACUCUCCAACUGCACUGAGCUCGUCGUUCUCUGGCUGGGGCAGAACAAGUUCUCUGGAAAUCUCCCUGACAGCUUCGGGAAUUUGAGCCGCCUGCUCCUUCUGUCGCUUUCCAGCAACGAUCUUGUCGGUUCAAUCCCGGCCAUAUUGCAAAACAUGUCGUCUCUGCAGUUCCUCUUCCUCUCAAACAACAGCUUCAGCGGCUCCAUACCGGACUGGCUUCCCAGGCUCACGAACUUACGAGCCAUGGACUUCUCGGUUAACAGGUUCUCUGGGGAGAUGCCAGAAAGCAUUGGCCGACUGUUUGCCAACGUCCAGCUUUACAACAAGAACAAACGGUCUGUGAUGAUUCAAACCACGCGAGGACUCCUCUACAACGGCUUCGCCUUCCCGACCUCCAUAGACUUCUCCUUCAACCAGCUGACUGGAAGCAUUCCAGCUGCCAUUGGCGACCUCUACAAGCUCCAGGUGCUGCACCUGAGCCACAACCAGCUAACAGGUCCCAUUCCCGAGUCCCUGGGGAAGGCAAGGAAUCUCUCCUGGGUGGGGCUCGCAAGCAAUCGUCUCAAUGGCUCCAUACCAUCGUCCGUGGCGGACCUCUCGUUUCUCACCAUCUUCGACGUCUCCAACAACAGCCUGGUGGGACGGAUACCUGACAGCCCACAACUCUCGUCCAUGGACGCGGCUCUCUUCGCUGGGAAUCACCUCUGUGGCUUGCCACUGACCAACACCUGUUCGAGCACUGCUAUGCCGCCACAUAAGCUUAGAACAGAGGGACAAGGUGGUAGCGAACAGGACCAAAGAGAGGUGAUAGCACUUGUCAGCGUUGGCAUCUUCGUGGCAGCCUUCUUCAACGCGUUCUUCUGGACCUACUUUGCGGCAAACCGCAGAGCUCAUUCCCAGCUCUGUGGAUGCUGGCAAUCAAAUCUCUAGCUCGUCCACCAUGUUGCUGCCGUCCUUUCUACCUUCCAGUUUGUAAUCCAUCACGACUGCUUGAUGAAGUGAACUCUUCUUAUCCGCUUUCAAGGCCGCCUCCUGUAUAGUCUUGAGCUUAUCAUGAUCCCCCCACAGCCCCGCGCUCCGGUAGAUGCUCGCCAGCAGAACGUACGCAGCCGAGUCAUUCUCGUCGAUCUUCGUCAGUGCCUCGAACGCACUUCCACUUACAGCAGGCCCCGAGGACGCUCCUCCAAACCACAGCAUCCGCUCUCAAAGGCAUGCUCUCGAGGACUUUCGGUUACGAGAUCCACCAAGCUGCUGUAGUGAUGAAUCCCGCAAACAAUGCCAGAGUCCGGGUCCAUUGCCUGGAAAAACUCCCUGCCUCGUUCAACUAGGCCGCCGUGGCUGCAAGCAGUGAUGACCGAGACAAACGUGAUGGCGUUUGCUCGCACGCCAUCUUCUCGCAUCUCACGACAGGCUUCGAACAUGCGCGACGUGUCACCCUGUUGGCCGAAUCCUGUGAUCAGUGCAUUCCAGGCGACGAUAUCUCGGACUGCCAGAGAUCCAAACAAGUGCUCGCACUCAUAACUCCGCACUUCCUGUAGAAGUUUACUCCCCACAACUUGAUCGUCUUCCAGCCCACGCCUGUAAAGCUCAGCCUGGAUUUUCCUUCCACUCCAAGAGUUCCAGCCCGAGCUCACUCUCACCGUUGUCUAUAUAUCCCUGUAUCGAGCUCGUCCAAACGACAACGUCCCGGCUAGGCAUGCGUUUGAAAACUGCUCGAGCUUUCACCAUAUCUCCACACUUGGCAUACAUGUCCACCAAGCUGCUCCCGACAAAUCUGUGCUCGCAGCGUCCAAACUUCGCGGCGAGAGAAUGAAUCUCCAUCCCCUUUUCUAGGCUCUGGAUUCGCACUAGCUUUCCAUCUUCUCGCGGAACAGGUGGCUCGGACGCUGAAAGGUGGAUGCAGGCCAUGAGCGCAGCAACAAACGUUCUCUCGUCCGGAUCGUUCUCCCGAGCCAUGCCAAAGAACACCUCCAAGGCCAGCUUGCUGUCUCCACUUACAUCGGCCAGCCAUGCCAUCGAAGACCUUGCGAGCUUCCUCUAGCUUCUCACACUUCGCGUACAUAUCGAUCAGAGUGUUCCCCACGAACACGUCCUCACAGCACCUGCUGUUUGAAGCUUCACCGUGGAUAGCCACCCCGGUUUCCAAGCUCUUUCUCUUCACGAGUUUGCCGUCGACAUCCACCGCUUCUUCUCGCAUUGCCGAGCUCGCACAGGCGGCAAGCGCAGCAACACACGUCUGAGAGUUUGGACAGCACCCAGAUAGCUUCAUAUCUUCGAAGAACACGAGAGCCAGCUUGCUUUCCCCGUUGUCCACAAAGCCUUGUAUCAAGCUCGUCCAGAGCACCACAUCACGACGAGGCAUGCUCUCGAAAACCAUCCGCGCGUCGACCAUGCUCCCACACUUUGAGUACAUGGUACUUGGCUGCUCCCCACGAAGAUAUCUCCACAGCAGUGGCUUUUCACAGCUCCAUCGUGAACAGCGAGCCCCUUUUCCAGGCUCUUCGUCUUCACCAUCUUUUGGUGGCCUCCUCUUUCACUGCUAGAUUCGCACAAGCCUUGGCAGCAGCAACGAAAGUCCAAGACUUUGGCGAGCAGUCCAUUUUCCCAAAGAACUCGAGAGCGACCUCACUUUCUCCAUUCUCUACGUAGCCCAGUAUCAACGCGUUCCAGGAGACCACGUCUCACUGUGACAUCUCAUCGAAGACCGAUCGAGCAUCGAGCAUGAUGCCGCACUUAGCUCGAGAGGAAAACGUCUUCGCUGCAAGACGGUCCCAUCUGCUUGGCUUGAGAAUGGAUGCCUCUGCCGGUCUCGAGACUAGCCUCCUUGACGAGCUUCCCAUCGACCAAAACAGCGUCUUCCUUCGCCGCGAGGCUGCUACAAGCCUUUGCCGCGUCCUGGAGUUUGGCUUGCAGCCCGACCGCCUGGCUUGCAUCCUCUCGAAGAGAUCCAGAGCCACAUCACUCUCGCCAUUGGAGACGUAGCCCAGCAUCAAGGACAUCACGUUUGGGUGAAGAAUGCUGUGGAACAGUCCUCCAUGCUGCCGCAUUUCGCGUACGUUUUUCGUCCACCAGCGCAUUGACAACAAGCUGCUUGUUCUCCGCCGCCUGGCCGUGGAUCGCCCAGGCGCAAAUUGCCCUUGCGCAAAUCCCUUGUGACCUUCAACGCCGACACCUGCUGAUCGGGCGCCCGCGGCGGCGCUGCCGAAGGAGCGAAUGCCGGUGCGGCGCAUCGAAUCGCUGCCAUCGCCAAGUCUCAUCCAUCGCAAGAACCCUAAAAAUUUGCUAGCAACAUGGAAAUUCAAUCAAGGCCGUCGAUUCAAGAAUAUCUGACGGUUGGAAAGAAUCGCAAUCCCAGGCUUGUAAGCCGGUGUCCAUCUCCGCUCGCCCUCGGAGUUAAGUCGAUCGGAAACACCGCUGAAAACAGGAACUAUGGCGAUCAAGCGUAAUCGCUCUUAAGACUCUUACCUGUUGAGGCAGCGAUUCCUGCUACUCCACCGGAGAUCAAGCUCGUCACCAUCCUACUCGGGCCCAUAGUUGCCAGAAAACGUAUGAAACUAAAAAAACACCGUUCUAAACUCCCAACGCGUUUGCACUAUUUGUGAAAAGAGACAAAGGUUUCUUUAGGGUUUCUUUAGGGUUUCUUCAGGGUUCAUGUAGUCAUGGCAGGAAUUGGAGGACGCCGCAAAUGCUAGAGCUGGAAGCAUGUGAUAUGAGCAGAGCGGCACUGGACAUGUAAGUAUUGUUAUGAGAUUCACACUGGGGGAGCGGAGCGAGUGCGAGCACAUCUUGCUAGAGUUCAGGCAAGAGGUGUGAAAACGUGCAAGGCAAUGAGGGAGAUCCCUUAUGAAGUUCUUAAAAAACCUCACAGCAGUUUUUCCGAUUUCGAGCUAGCAGACCCAGCAGAUGCCAAUGAUGGGCAUCUGCUGCAGCAAGCCGCACAGGGUUCAGGGGGGCAGCAGAAUCUAUGGUGGCAAGCACGGAGAACUGGUCCAGUGCUGGGACAAGCAGAACAGUGAAACAGCUUUUUCUUUCAUUUGUUUUAGUAUGUUAUUCCGUUGGGUUUUAUAAACUUAAUAUCAGAUUAAAGUGUAUUUAGUAAAUAUUAGUGUUUUUUUAAUCAUUUUAGGCUUUAACAUGUAAAUGUUUGAUUGUCCUGAAAAAAACGUUUUAAACGGCGUUUAAACGUGGACGCGUUUGAACGUUUGCACGUCUAGCUGCAACUAUGCUCGGGCCUGAAAGUAACCAUGCAAUGCCAGGAGGCCUAAGCAUGUCAAAACUGUGUUUACCAAUGCGAUGGUGCUCCGUGCCUGUAAAGCUUUUCCAAAAAUUUCUCACUCUGAAACUAAAAAUAAUCCAACUUUGAGCGUUCCAGUAGUUGUAGAGAGUGUCAUACAAGCAGAAGUUUAUCCCAAUCGUUGGGCCUAUGGCAGGAGUCAAGUCUGUGGCAUUUGGCAGGGAGGAAAACCAAUACCAAAAGUGUCAGUCAGAGUUCCUUAUGAAGGCUAAGAAAGCUCUCCUGUUGAUGGAUUGUGGAAAGCGUGUGAUAGAUGUGGACACACAGCAACAUCUACACGCAAGAGCACAAAAGCUGUAAAGGGAACAACUAACAACAAAGAUCACAAAGCUCAAGGUGAGGAAAUUCAGGAGAAGAUUCCAGACCUGAACAUGUAACCACCUUGCAGGUUCCAAACUGACAGUUGUCAAACCAGUGUAACGUGAACAUGACCCAGCAGGAGCAGUCUCCAGCAUCCCUACCGCACACAGCAACACCAACACAACCAGCUCUCAAUGCUGACACCGACAACAUGCCACAUCACGGCAAACACCACAGUUGAGAGCAUCCCGAGCAAGAGUGAUGCUGCAAGCCUGAGCUUACACUGGAUCUUAAGCUUGGCAUUUCUCCAGUUUGUGGACAAAAUGCAAUGUCUCCAGUCAACACCAUAGAUGCCAAUACCAGCAGAUUUUGCAAGACUUUUCCACGACAAACAGAUGAGCAUUUUCAUAAGAGACAAAGUCCAAUCAACACCUUUGUCUACCAGCCCCUAGAUGUGAAGUUCACGAAGAUCCAGAACCAUAUUCUCCAGCUCAAGAGGAGCAUUCAAGGUACAACUUUCUAGGAAUUUGUAUGCACAAAGACUUAGCACAUGAAUAAAAAACUCCCCAAGGAGAAUGCAGAGCUUCACAAUGAGAUCUGACAACUCAAGGUGAAGCAGCUAUAGGGAUAGGGUGCGCUACAACAGAAGAACAAGUUCAAGAAUGAGCUCUCUGGAGUCAUAGUAGCAAUAAAACAGCCCAAUGCUAUGGAGAAAUGAGAGCUUCAAAAUGAAACUCAACUCAGUUAUGGGAGAAAGUGGAGCAUAGAAAAUCAACAUUAUAUUUAGAAACAUCAUCCUAAGUCUUGAAAUUUAAAUCUUAAGACUCAAGAACAGAAAUGAGUGGCAGUUGCCAGAACUUAUUAAGGAGGUGAGUUAACACUCAAACUCUAUCCCUUUCUUUUGUACUCCAACUUUCCAUCAUCAAUGCACAUCUAUUUGUGCAAAAUCUACAGUACUCAAGUGAUGUUAAGUUUAUCUUUGCUCAUGACUUCAACAAAAGCUUUCAUAGGGAUUGAAGGACUCAAGUCAUUCCUUUUUUACUUUUUAUAUGUUUAUUUGUGUUUAACUGAAGCAAAAUGCAAAAUCAAGUCAAACAAGUGUAGUAGUAAGCAUCCACUUUACUCUUACCUUCUUUUAUCUUUCACUCUUAUUUUCUUUUCCUCUUUCUUUUUUUUCUAGUACAAGCUUUUAGCAUACAGACUUUUACCCAAGUUUCUAGGAAUGGCUUGUUUUAACAUUUAAAGGAAUGAUUGCAAAACAUAUAAAAUUUUAGCAUUUAGAUUGGGAUGGAUAUUUGCCGUUUCUUUGGUAUAUGUAUAUCACAGGGUAUAAAGUUCCAUUGGUGUUUCACUUUAUAAACUUUUAUGUGGUCAUUAUUUGAUAUUACUAAUGGAGUUGAGUUUACCUUCGUGAUUGCUAUAAAGUACCAAUACUAAGUCUUGGGAUCAACAUUUGAUGAGCAUUUUUCCAUUCAUUCAAGUGGAGUUUAUUGAGCAUUUAGGCUAUGUAUAAGUGGGAUAAUAACAACACAACAACUUCCAUCAUCAUCCACCAAUGGAGUAUAAAGUGGAUGAUUUGGUGUUAAUCCAUUUUCCUAAUAUUACAAUACAUGGUUUGUGUAAGGGGCUCUUUAUUCAGUGGAAGAGAUUAUAUUAAGUGUUUUGGUAAGUUAAACUGCAUGUUUAUAAAGCUUGGCAAAACAUUCAAUAAACUAAUCCUCCAGAAAUUAUAUAUAUGCAAUAACUUAAAUGUUUUGUAUAAAGGGAUCAAGCACUACCUAUAAAUCCACCAGUGCUUCCUCCUGAUGUUCCUUUAGAUCCUAGUCUCUCAACCUGAAAACCUUAAUUACCUUUCAUCCUUCUAAAAGAAUAAGAUAAUAUGAGGUCUAAGUGUAUAGCUAUGAUAUUGUAUAUAAAUAUUAGUAUAAUUUUCAAACCACUCACUUUUGUAUAUAAACUAUGGUUUUUGGGCUAAUUAAGAUGCAUAUUUCUAUAUGCACUAAGAGUGCUACUUAAACUAUAAGUGAGGUUAGAAAAUAAACCCUUUUAUGGCAUCUUUCUUAAUAUUAGAUCAAGAGGGUAAUAAAUAACUCAAUGAAGUUAUCAGUCUUUAUAUUUUUUCUUAGUGAAAAUCUUAUAACUUAAUAUACAUAUCUAAUCAAUAUAAUUCAUUGGGAGUAGGUAAAAAUACCAUAAUAUAACUAGUAAAUUUUAGAAAUAUAAUAAAUUUACUUUUAAAUAGGACAGAAAAAAAAAUUAAGUAGAGAAUGGAUAAAAGUGAAAAUACAAGUGAUAGAGAAGAAACCAUUGAUAUUUUAUCCACUUGAAAAGUUCUUCACCACUUAAGAAAUAAUAAGCUUAAAUAGAAUAUUAAUUAUAUAGUAUUUUAAUUCCUUUUGAAAAAAUAAAUAUCCUCAAUGUUUUUAAGGGGAGAAAUUUAGAAGCUGUAAGCUCCUGAAUUUAGACUUCCUAGAAGGUCAUCUAGCUUAGUACUAUUCAAACCCAAGAACACUUAAUACAAAAUAUCCCAAAACUUUUAAUCGAUUGGAAAAAAGGGUACACUCUUAUUUAUAGGCCCUUUCCUUUUAUAUUUGAACCCUAUGAAUUGUCUCUCUCUUUAGUUAUUAAGAAUCCAGUACACUUCUUUGCAAAUUCAUGCCCUUGUGAAUGGAAGUUGAGAGCAAUAGCUUUCCAAAGAGCCCUGCUCUUUUGACACCCUACCCUUUGGGUUGAACCUAGCUGGAGCAAGUUUAAUUUGCCAAAUAUCAAUUAACAUAUAGUGCAAUUCCAUUAACUAACCAACAAUAUAGACCGUUUCUUGAGUCAUUUUUUUUGGUUGCAUUUUAAGUUACCAAAUGGUAUUACUUAAAAAACAAACAAGUAUAUUUCUAGGGGCAAUUUGUAAUGCAUGUGGUUUUUACCUUUUAUCUUAUAGUGAUUUACUAUAAGAUAAAAAUGAAAUGGAACAUAAACCCUCUAUGUGCCACAUGUCAUCCAUAGGACCUUGAGUUUCAGGGCUUUGGGCUAUUAAACAAAAGAAUAAUGGCAAACUCUUAAGUAUGGACCUAAGGAGUGAAGGUAUUAUAGCACAGAGUGACUUGAAACAGUUCUAGAGUAUUUAAUAUCCUAAUGCUAAGACUAACAUAUAAAAUAGAGUCAAAUGGAGUUUAAUAUUAUUUCAACAUACUAAUGGCAUAAUACAAGGAUAUAGGUACUCCAUCAACUAACAUCAUAUGAAACUUAAGCUUAAACUCAAGCCAAAUGCAGAACAAGGACAAACACGCAAGCAAGAGUUAGAUUAUACCUCAAGUUAACCAGCCAUGCCUAAUCUACCCACUAUCCUUAUUAUAUAUAUGGAACCCCCUAUAGCACCGAGCUAGAGCUUGUAGAGGAACGUCACCUUUUGUGCCACUUCUUGCCCGGAGCUUUUGUCAAGGUCUCCUUCCAGGCUCUCCACAAGAUAUGACAUAUGGUAUGCUUGAACCUGGCUGGGAAAGAGCUUCACCACCUCCGUGACGUUCAAGUAGUGAGUAUGAACCUCUUGGAGAAGGUGAUGGAGCAUCGCAUACGCGAUGGUGAUGCCGUCGUGUGUGCUGGUUCCUCUUCCCAGCUCGUCGAUGACUACCAGCGAGCGAGAAGUUGCCUUGUGGAGAAUAGUUGAAGCUUCACUCAGCUCCUCGAAAAACGUACUGGAGCCCCUCUGGAUUCUGUCCAUCGCCCCUAAACACGGCAUCGAAUACAUGCAGUUUGGCUGUCGCGGCUGGAACAUACGAUCCUAUCUGCACGAUAACAAAACAUACGGAGUGAAAAGAAAUAAAGAUAGUUGCGAACCUGGGACAUGAUUGUGAUUAGAGCAACUUGACCGAUGUAGCAACUUUUACCACCCAUUUUUGGACCAGUGAUUAUUUGCGAUCGUUCACCCUCACCAGAAACAACUGUGUCAUUUGGUACAAAUGCAUCUUGCAGAGUCGAAUCUAGGACCUGCUCACGGAAAGACAUUCCAGUAAAAAUAUUAAACGACAAGAGCAAAAGAAACAAACCGGAUGUCGACCACCUUCUAUCUUCAAAAGGCACGCUUCAUCCACGAACUCCGGUCGAACAUACCCCUGAAGCACAUUUUUCAUUCAGAUAAGCGUUGAAAAACACAAGGAGACAGACCUGAUUGCACGAGACAACAGCAAGGGAAUCAAGACAGUCGAGAGCUGCUAGUGCCUGUACUGCAGCCCGGAACUCCAUGUGAUAGGAGGUAAAGUCAGUCAGGAACAUGUCCCAUGCUUUGGCGCAAGAUAUAUUUAAUUGCUCCUUUGCAAGUGCCAUUCUUUCCGAUGCUUCCAAGACCUCCGGAGGAUGAUAGCGGUUUGCCUUUUUCGUACUGUUUAUUUUAACCCAAUCUGCAGGUACACGCUGCGCACAUGGAACCUGAAACUACAAGCUUUUAGCAAUCAAAUAACUGAAUUGAGAAAAAGAAAGUACCUCGACCAAAAACGACGUUCCCGAGACGCUCAAGUAUUCCAGAUUUGAACACUUCCAACAGUUUCCGAUAACUGGGAAGAAAACUUUCGAGAUCCUCCUCAAUACUUUUUAUGGUCUCUUUGCAUUCGUCUACCUGAAGCACGACUUAAACGAAGUCUGGGAAACGAUAACAAACCUCGGGAUACUGGCCGGCAACAAACAAGUUAAUCUUAUCCCCAGCUGCUGCUGCCUCUGCAUUCAAACUUGUCACAAGCUUGUUUGCGUGAUCUAUCACUGAAGUUGAAGUCACUGCGGAGAUUAGCCUGCUGAGGAGCGCAGACCUGGCGUCGCGAACCCGUUGAAACUGGGACGCUGCUUUCAUAAUCGCAUUAAUCACGUUAAUGAACUGCAGCAAACAUUACGGUCAGAAAAGAAUAACAAUCAGGAUUACAGAAAAGGAAAGGUACCUCAUACGUUGUUGCUGUUUUGUGAUAAAUUCUUGUGAUACCACGCUCAAGAUCAGGCAAUUUUCCCAGCAGCAACAACGUUGAAGCUAAAGUUGCAACUGUUGUGCCUCUGCCUUUAUCUCCAAUGGAUUCGGCAAUUUCCGCAACGGCGUCUAAACGUUGAGAAAUAAGCAUGCGGUCUCUUAACGGAUGGGCCACCUGAAAAUAGACAUGAGUGGAAAAAACGAAAAAUCCAAGAUUGUGACUGAGACCAAACUCCUUACCCAAUACUUAAGCAGCCUCGCGCCAAAAGCAGUUUUUGUGUGGUUCAUAAGCCAGAAUAAAGAUCCGUUUUCAGUACCAUCAGUUUGGUUAUGUAGAAUCUAGAAAGAAAAAACUUGUUACUGGUAAGUAAACAUCGCAUUCAGUGGUUACCUCAAGCUGGCGGAUGGUGUUGGGCGAGAGCGUCAUCUCUUGCUGCCCGGCAAAUGGUCGGAAAAGAGCUCCUAAGCGCAAUACAUUUUCCAGAUUAAACUGCUUCAGAUAAGCAAAUAUAUGCGCAAACGCAGCAACCACGAUUUCUGGCAUCGUCAUCAACGCCUGCAAACUUCAAUUCUCAUCCGAUAGUGUAAUCAAGACAACUAGAAAAUUACCUCUAACCCUGCAUCAACCUUCUCGUCCAGACAGCCUUUCUUAGAAGACGCCAAGCUCCCGUAGAAGUCCGCAAGAGCAGCAACAGUACCGCCAUUUUCAAACGAGUUCUCAGGCGUCUUCUCGGCUCGAACAUCCGCUGCGCCUGCAUAGUCCAUCAACAACUAUACAAAAAUCACCAUCAUUCAUAUACAACCCGAUCAGAGAAAAGAAAACAGCUUACCUUCUUUGUAGAAGUGGACAAGGACGCAGAUAAAAGAAGUUCUGCGGGAGCACACGCAAGCAACCGUGAUUCCAGUUCCGUCCUGGUGACAGUGUCCAUAAAGUGACCGUACAUCACGUCUCCGGUCGAGGUUUCCACGGCCACCACCCCAAAUCUAGCAUCAAAACUUCCCUUCACUUCAUCCUUUCCAGCGUUGGCCUUGUGCUCGGUGAUUGCCUCCUCCACAACACACAUGAUAUAGCUGCUAAGACGAAUAGGUCCAUCCCUUUCCCCACUCUCUUCUCCCCCAAGAAACUCGCCCGCCUCGAGCGUGGCCUUGGUAUAUAGCGCCGAGAGAUCUCUCGAGAACGGGCCAGCCUUGUUCGUCCCGUGAGCUUUGAUAGCCGCUGUCUCGGUCUGCUUGACAACGCCAACUUUGUAGCCAGCUUCCACAAGCCUUCUCACAUGUACGUGCAACCGGAACGUUGGAACGCUGGCAGUGAGAAAGCUGUGGCUGUAGUAAGCAACGAUUCCCAAAACAUUGGCUGCUUUCUCCGCAUCCUCUCCGAAAAAUCGAAACUUGUAUCCCACCUCGACCAUGAGAAGGAUGUCAGGGAAUUUCUUCUUGAGCUCCACAAUCUGCUGCUCCAGAGGAGUAAGCUUCUCCUUCCCUGACGGUGGCUUUCCAUAAAAGGAGGAAUUUCCACCACCGCCAUCUCUGUCCCCCUCUCCAAGAAGAACAUCUACAAACUUUCUACGCCUGUCUUUAAUCGCUUCCCCCGAUACUCCGCAAUCGGCAUCCUUCCCAUCGCCCAACCCGGCGUCUACAUCUAAAUUCAAGCACCGUUUCUUACUCGCGCUGGCCGCAUUCUCGGCUGAUCGCCUGAGAUGAUGCGGCGAUGGCCACACUAGUGUGGGAGCCCGCAAUGCAUCGGUCUCACCUCGCUUGAAGAAGCUGGGGAUGAUCGCCUGGCCCUUGGCGGCGGCAGCGCCCUCGUCCUUCUUUCUCUUUCCCAUUCAAAAACUUAUAAACCCUAAGAUUCUUUCUUCAAGCCCAACAAUUACAGUCACCACCCCAAAUCUAUGCUUGAGGCUAAGGAGUUUCUGGGAGGAGAAGAGGGCGGUGAAAGAGAUGGACCAAUUUGUCUUAGCAGCUGGGUGCUGGCUUUGGUAUAUAGAGCCCAAGAAAUCGAGAAUGGGCCAGCCUUGUGUCUUGGUACGCCAACUUUGUAGCCAACUUCCACAAGCCUUCCCAUACACACAACUGGAAUGAGAAAGCAGCCAAUUUUCUUAGAAUUUGUUUAUCAUAGCCACAGCUUUCUCACUGCCAGCGUUCCAACAUUCUGCCACAUCCUCUCUAAAAAAUUGAAACUUUGUAUCCCACCUCAACAAUGAGAAGAGUGUCUAGAAAUUUCUUCCUGAGCUCCACAAUCUGCUGCUACAGAGGAGUAAGCUUCUCCUUUCCCGACGGCAACUUUCCAUCACAGGAGGAAUUUCCAUUGGAAGCAUCCUGUCCCCAAUAACAUUUACAAAAUUUCUAUACCUGUGUGCUUGCAAGAGGAUUUAGAUGUAGAAGCCAGGUUGGGGUAUUGAUUGGCUGCGUUCUCAGCCGGUCGUUUAAGAUGACACAGUGAUCAUUCUUGAAGAAGCUGGUGGCCGCAGUGCUUAGUAUAUUUAUUAUAAGAUUCUUAUAUUAUUUUAUUAGAAUAAUAUUAUUUGUAGGUGAACCAUAUAUUAUAGCUUACUUGCUAAAUCUGAGAGGGAGAUGGAAACUCUUUGGCUAAUUAUUUUCCUGUUGCAUUUGUUAGUUAUUGCAAGAGUGAAAUUUCUGCAAUAUUUAUCUUUGGAGACUCAUUAGUAAAUUAUAGAAAUAAAAUUUACAUUUUAAACACUUAUGCAAAGGUUAAUUUCCUCCCUAUGGAAGGAAGUUCCUUAGUGGAGCAAUAAGGAGAUUUUCAAAUGGAAAUCUUAUUCUUGAUGUUAAUAAAGUGUUUAAAUUUGUUCAUUUGCAACUUCAUAUUUAAAUCUUCAAUUAAUUUAACCAUUUUUGUCACCCACAAAGAACAUAUAGUAAGGUGUAAAUUAUGGAAGUGCUAGAUUUGGAUUGUUUAAUAUUAUUAAAGUUUGUUUAAAGAUAAUUCAUUUAAUUUUUUAAUUUUGUGUCAAAAGAAUCUUUCCAAGCCAAAAUUAUCCAUGACCUAUCUAUCUACAAGUGAAAAAUUUCAUUGAAGAUAAACAUAUACUUAUAUCUCAAAUUGGUCUAAAUGCAACACUAAACAUCAUAAACAAUUCUAUAUUUUACAUAACAUAUGGAUCUAAUGAUAUAAUUAAUAAUUACUAUGAACUUGAUUCUUUUUUGCCAAGUUAAUACAAAAUCUUAGAGUUUAUUGAUAUUUUGAUGCAACUUUAUGAUACUCAAAUUCUGGUAAACAUAAUUCAUAACUUUAAACUAUUAUACAACCUCUUUAUUUAUGUUAUAGAUCUUGUAUCAAGAAAGAACAUGCAAAAUUGUAGUUGCAUCCUUAUUUUCAUUAGGUUGUAGCACUCUUUUUUAUCAAACACCAUUAACUAACUUGCAAAGUAGUAAACCAGUUUAAUUACAAACUUAAUUUAGUCUUAUUUUAUUUUAGAUUAAAUUUACUAGGACUUAAUAUUUUUUAUGUAGACUCUUACACUAUAUUACUUGAUAUUGUUCAAAAUCUUCUAUCAUAUAGUAAAUUUGUAUUAAAGAAAAAUACUUUAUUGAUAAAUUUUAAUCAUGAAAAAUUGUAAUAAGCUUCACAAUUUUUAAUGUUGGAUGUUGCAACUUUAUAGAACCCAGUUAAAAUACUUUAGUGACAGAAUAUUUACCCUUGAUUUCAUCUUGUUUAGAUCUAAAAAAGUAUAUUUAUUGGGAUCAAUUUUAUCUUACCUCCAAAAUUUAUAACAUGCUUACUGAUUUAUUUUGAAUGAAAGUGAUUAUAUAUAUUCUAUUAGCAUCUAGCAAUUAACUUCUAUAUAAUAAAGUUUAAUACAAAUUUUUAUUCGUCUGAUUUUAUUUAUAAAAUAUUAUAAUAAAAUUUUAAACUGAAGUUUUUAAAAGUAAUUUAUAAAUAUUUUAAAUACUUUAUUAUAAUAAUAUUUAUGUAUAAUAUUUUACUUUAGAAAAAUAAAUAACUAGCAAUACAAACAUAUGAAUUAAUCAAGUUUAGAUUAUCUGAUUUAGAUUUUUUAGGAAUUUAAAGAUUAUUUACUAAUUUAAGAGCAUUAGAUUAUAUAUAAAAUAGUUUUACUUAUAUUUUCUUCACCAUUACUGCUGCUAUAGUUUUAAAGAUAAAAUAAUCUUUAAUUUAGGUAGUGAAUUGAAUAAAAAAUAACACUAUUCUUUCAUAGAUAUAAAUGUUUUUUAUCACACUAAAUUAAUAGUAAACAUUUCUUCUAUAAACCCUAUACAAUGUUUUACUAUCAAAGUUCAUUUAAUUAAAUUUAUUUUAAAACUUUUGAAUUCAGCUAUAUCAAGUUAUGUAUAUAUUGGAUUUUACUUAAUUAAUCUUUGGUUUUUCCUUGAUUUUAGUUAAAAUAAAUAUAUUAGUAACUGUUCAUUAUAUAAAUGGAAAGAAACUAUAUUUUGUUGUUUAAAUUUUUAUUACAAUAGCUUGAAACAUCUUAUUACAAAAAUUUGAAAUUUCUAUAAUAGAAUUUGGAUCAGUUAAUUCUUUGAAUAAUAAAAACAUUUUAUAAAUAGAAUUAUUUACGAUAUAAUCUUGAAUAAAUCCUAAUGAAUAAUUAAAUAAUAUAUUAACUAUUUAUUUUCAAAAAUAUUCCUUACUUAAUAUCACAUUCUAGCCCUAAUUGUUGUUUAACAUAUAGAUUUUGCAACAUUUGUGGUUGUUGUGUUUUUAUUUUAUUUAAGUUAAAAACUUUGGUCUCUUUUCUCAUCACAUGUUGGUUCUAGGAUGGCUAUCUUUUUCAGGUCACCAUAGCUUCCCAAGAUGAGGUGGUAACAUUUCUAACAUGGAUUAUCAAGCAAAGUUCUUCUACCAAUUAUCUUGGAUCCAAAAUCCAAAAGUUUCUAGCAUGGAUUAUCUUAGAUCUCAAGCAAAGUUCUCCAAAACUUUCUAGCAUGGAAGAGAUUUAGGUGGUGGAAGAAGAAAGGAUGUAUGUGUAACCUCCCCCCAUUCUCUAGGCUUUGAGUCUGCGACUGGGAUCACUGCUAGCACACGUGGUUCUUGUUGGAUUCCAAGUCUAGAGAUCCUCGUCUUGCUUACCAAAUAUCUUGACGUCCCCGAUCAAUCACAAGCUCCACCUGGGUUUCCAUUUAGAGAUGAAACAAAAGUUUGUAAAGCAGCGAAGUCCAUUUUGAUCUUCGUCACGAACUUGUCUUCCGAGAACUAAGAGCCUGUCAAGCCUCUCACGAGUUACAAUUCUUCACAGGGAAAAAAGAAAGAAAACACAGCUCCACCUUGAGUGCCUAAACCACGAACAUUGCUCAUAGUUACUCCUCGAAUUCCAACUCUCAGCAAUGCUUGAUUGAAAGAACAAAAAGCUUGAAUAAAAAAAACCUUGAAUCCUUGAGAGUUCUUACCCUUGAUGCUUGGGAGUCUCCAAGGUCUAGAAAAAAAGGAGAGAGAAGCAAAGAAAUUGGUAUUACUGCGUUACCAGUCAGAUCCGAGCUCCAAAGAAUCCGUCCACAUCCUCUAUCCUCACAAUCCAAAAGAAAAGAGAAAGAAAGCUCAAACCUUUCUGCAGCAUGUUAAGAUGUGCUAUGCGACCCUUGAGCCGGGUCCUCCUUGAAACCUGAAUAAGCCAGCGGUGACCUCAUCUAUCCCUGCCCUCUACAAAUCACACCCAAUGGUGUGUGGGACGACUGGCCUGCAUCGCUCGGUCUUAGCGGCCAAGAAGAUUUCCCAUUUAGCCCUAAAUUGUGACACCUCUUCUUCUCGUGAUCGAUCUGGCAAUUGGAUGAUUUUAGCUGACUCAUUCAUUUUGACAGCUCAUUAUUGAGCCACCUGAGGCAAAUGAUAUACACUCACUGAGGUAUAGAAGUAUCUGUGCUGAGAAUUUUAGACUCUAUGAUCAGAACUUUGGAUAUAAAACUAUUCCCAUCCAAAGGUUCUACUUGAUCAAUCAUCAUGGAUAGCAUAUGAUUUUCCUCCAUUCUCACUGUUCCUUCCUUAAUAUUGAACCACUGAAUUUUAAAAAUAAUUCUCUUGAAUUAUCUAAAGUUUACCUCAUAAAUAUCCAUUAAUGUACCUGUUUAAUAUAAAAGUUAUAAAAAACUAACAUAGAUAAAAAUACAUACCUGGAAAAUCAAUAUGAGGUUGUUGUGGAUUCCUUAACGUAAUUAUAAUGUUGUCCAUUGUUUUCUUAUUUGCAUUGAUUUGAGAAACUCUAAAAUGCUUUCCAUUAAUCUAAUAUACUGUAUAACUCAUGGCCUAAAAUUUAAAAGUAAUUAAUAAUUAAUUAAUAUUAAUUAUGACUUUGCAUCCAUUACCCAAGUCCUUAAAAAAGUUUGAUCCAUUUCCUCUUCAAUUAAGCAUAUAUGUAGAGAAAUAUUUUCAUGCUCUUCUUAAUUAAGUUGAAUUUGUUUUCCUAAAUGCUACAAUCGAAUACUAUUAUAAUCAAAUGGUAUAAACUGUAAAAUAUUAGUUACCAAAUUAGCACUAAAAUAUUAUGCAUACAAAAACUCUCUCUUAAUAGUAGACCUUACACUAUAGAUCUUCAAGUUUUGCUUUUUGUCUUACCAAAGAUUUUAAAACUCUUAAAUAACACUUAAUAAAAAAUAUUUUUUAGCUAGUUCCAAGACCAACUAUCUAACUCAUCAAUUAAGUGUACUAAUAAAUAUACUUGUGAUGUCAUAGCUGUUGUAAAUAAUGUUGCUUCCAAUAAACACACAUAAAUGAUAGACUUUUCUUUCAUAAUAGGUAUCAAAGAUUUAUCUACUUCUUGAGCAGUUAAAAAUCUAAUUAAAAUUAAAAUUAAUUGAAUUCAAAAAAUUAAAUCAAUUAGUACCAUACAACUUCUCCAAGAAAAUAUUGCUUCCUGUAAAUGAGGUGUUAUCUUUCCUAUUAUAAAAAUGAGAUAAACAUCCUACUAAAUAUGUUAAUUAACAUUUUAGUAAAUUUAGAAACUUACUCAUAGUAAAUGAAGCCAAUUUUUUUCAUACCUAUUAACUUACCUUUCUCAUCAACAUAAUUUAAAAAUUCAGUUCCAUAUGUUGUAAGAACUUUAAAAGCCUCUAUAUUAUUAAUAAAUAAUUUAUUUUGAUAACUUGUUAAUGUCCAAGUUCCAUGAUCAAUUUUUCCAUCACGUCACACCACAUAUUUUACUUUAUUCUACACACAACUAAGUCUUUUCUAGUAUUUAAUUCAUCAUUUUUGGUAGUAAUAGUUUUAUAUUUAGUUUCAAAAACAUUCUUAAAUAUGUGCAUAUAAUCUUUUAAAAAUGCUACUGGCAACUUAUAAAAAUAUGGAAGUUGAUAAAAUGUGAAUAUAACCAUUUCAUACCAUUAGGUAAUGAUAUUUGAUCUUCUUGUCUAACUAAAUAAUAUAUGUUGCCUAUUGUUCAGGAGUCAUUUGUGUUAGUAUUGGUCAAAUAUAAUUAUGACCAUUAAAUAAACUAAUAAAAAUUAGAAUUUAAUUUAUGUUUAGAAAUAAUAACUAAAAUCUUACAUUCUAUUAGUAGACUUAAAUUGAUGAUCCAUAGGUAAGAGACACCAAUGACCAAUAUAUAUGCAUUUUUAUAAACUUUGUGACUAUAUUCCAAGAAUCCAAGUCCAUAGUCUAGGUAAAAGUAUUUUCCCAUUAGUUUGAAGUCCUGAACAAAAUCAUAAUCCAGGAAAAUCAUGAAUAAACUAUCACACUGCUUCUCUAAGCUUAAAUCACCCUCUAGCUUAAAAUUAUCUUUGCAUGGCACUCCAUCCCAUAAUUGUUUCAACUCUUCCAAAAAUAGGGACCAAUAAAUAUUAGGUACCUUAGGAAGUUUUUGGCCUAGAAAAAUUAUAAAUAUAAAUAUUUCAUUUUAUUUUUUAGACUAAUACCUGGUAUAAUCAUAAUAAGAAAUAUAAAUGAAGGCUUAAUUGCUAGAGUUGGUGGUAUAUUAGUAUUAACUACAACAAUUGCCUAACAUGAAUAUAUUUUUGCCAUUAAUUUUGUUGGAGAAAGAUUAUUUGCAACUAUAGUAAGAUGUAUAUUUCUUGGAUCUACUGCAAAAUUUGGGUAAAUAAGUUGAACCAUCUGCAGGCAUUCUCAUUAUUCCAUUAGUGGAUUGAUGAUAAAAUUAUAAGUUAUAUAUUUUUUUUAUUUCUCUACAUUGAAAUUAUUAUUGAAGUCAAGGUAUAAUAGAGAAAUAGUGCAUUAUUUUCUCAGGUAUAUAAUUGUUAAAAUCUUUGUGCUUGCUAGCAAUAGAAAUUUGACAAAAUUGAAGGUCCUUAUUCUCCUUAUGAAAUAACAUAAAAUCAUUGAUGCAUGAAUUAAUCUUUUUUUAGGUAAGUCCAUUAUGUUUAAUGAUAUUUUCCACUUCCUUAUAUAUAUUUGAAACAUUUUAUUUGUAGGCAACAUUUUCUUGAAGAGCCUUCAUC
rnacentral:lncRNA from 1 species